CUUUUUCGGGUGCUUUUAAUGCAUAUUAUUCUUUUGUUUAUCAGAAAAAAAACAAAAAAACAAAAAAGAAAACAAAAGGAAAUCCUAAUUUUAUCUGAAUGCCACAUUUGAUGAGAACAGAAUGAAAUAAAAGAAGGCAAGACGAGCAAGAAUUUGGGAUAGCACGUUUCAGAAACGAAUUCAGCCCUCAAGAACAGAAAGCACAGGUUGAUGAACUCAUUAGACAAGCCGAGAACACAGACAGUUACCCAAGAUUCGGGCUAGAGCUGUGCACAAGUAGGAACUUAUCACUAGGGGGAGGAAGAAUAGUAUUUCAUUGCUACAAAUAUGGAUUAUUGAAAAGAAUAAGACAUGUAUUUGGAUCUUUCCCUUCAACUCCACAAUAUUGUAAAGGGGAAUUGCACGUAAGAAAAGGGAUAAUCUUCAUGGACUGGCUUCCACCAAUCGAAGUUUCACGCAUUUCAGAUGGUGGUAAAGUGAGACCACAUAAAGAGCUCGACAAGGGGGUGGCGGUCAACCAAACCAUCCACUCUCGAAAUUCAUAUUGAUCAAUCGAUCUCCGCGUCCUGCCAGUUCGCUAAGUAGACUCACUCUACCAGGGGGCAACAAAGGCUGGAACUAUUCAGCAAUAGGAAAUGGCGCGGGCACUGCCACUAAGACUGAAUGAAUGCGGGCAAAAGCUAUUAGGGUUUCCAAAUGCAUCGUAUUGCUUUUAGGAGUGAUGUCAAUAUCUGGUAUCUAUUAUGUCUUGAAGAGAUGGAAUUCCUUCAAAUGUUAUCCCUUUUAGGAAAGAUGGUAUUCUCAUUUCCAUGUUGAUAAGGGAAAAAAAGAUGUAGGUGGAGUGGUUUGAUGGUCAUGUGCUCGAGUUGAUGAUCACCUCUAAAAAAAUAUUUUGAUCUUUUUGGUGAUGGUUCUGGUCCUGAUUCUUAGUCAAUUCCAUGCUUAUCUAAAUGGAAUGGAAAUCUUUAUAUCACAUUCUUUUGAUCCCAAUUUUCAUUCCAGAUUCCAUUCCUAGAACCUAUUUUUGGCUCAAGUCAUUAGUCUCAAACCACCUAUGAUCUACAACCAUCCUUGAGAAAUCAUUCUCUCAACAAAGCACUGGAUCUUCUUUCAUCCAAACAUAUUCAUUUGAUUUCUUCAUAGGUUUAAUACCAAAUUGGUGUUAAAUUUGAGGGGAUUUGUUGUCCAAGUGGGGGAACAUUAAAAAAAAAAAAAAUCAUCUAAUUAGAUGGGAUAUGGUAUGUUGAUCAAGGGCUCAAGGCAAAUUCAGCUUUGAGGGUUUCUAUGUGACAGAGUCUUUGUUAGCGAGUGUUUGUGGAGAUUCCUAGGGAGCAAUACCUCUCUUGGGCUUUCUGUAAUCAAAGUAAAAUACAGGCUACAAAAUAACAGAUGAAUGCAAAUUCUGGUUUGAAAUUUGUUGGAGUGUAUGAUAUACAUGGUAGAUCCAAAUCCUAUGAGCUUAAGCUUUUAGGAAAAUUGGUAAUUCAACAUGGUAUCAAAGCCUUACUAGAGUAUAUUUAUAUCUCCAAUUUAUCAAGUAAGCCUAAAAGAGGCUGAUUGUGGUUAUUUGCCAAUGGGCCUGUGUGUGUCUCUCCAUGUAUGGGUAUGGAACUACAUAUGAGGGAUUGUGUUAGAGUGCAUGAUAUAUAUAGUGAGCCCAAAUCCUACAAGCUUAAGUUUUUAGGAAAAUUGGUAGUUCCACAAAAUUCAUGCUAUUAUCUAUGGAAAUCCAUUUUUUCAAGGUUAUUACAACUCUAUUCAUCAUGUUAGAUUCUUUGGAGAAGCUUAUCUUUGUUGGAGAGAUCAAACAUUUCACUUUUCUUAGCUCAUGUUUCCUAUCUAUAUUCCUCCUCUAUUAACUGCCCCUGUGGAACUUUGGCUUUCAAAGCAACAUCAACAACCAUGAGAAUGAUCUUACUUCGCCCCUGUUACCCUUGGAAGACAUCUUAUCUAGAUCUUAUUUGGAUGAGGCCUUGGUCCCUUGAAAUGGUGGGUUUACAUUCCUCAUAAUCCAUCUUUCUCUUCUGAUCCUGGAAGGCAAUCUUGAUAGCUUUUUAAUAGAUUUGAAAUUCCUUGAAAGUCCAAGCUUUUGUUGGGUUAGUAGCACAUGAGAUCUGGAGAGCUUGCAUUGCCAUUUAUCCUGAUAAAUGUCUUCGCUGUUGAGAGAAGGGGAAGAUGUCUGGCUGCCUCUUUUCUCAAUGGUGUAUUGCUUGUGAGCUUCAGUAGUAAUUUUUCUGUCUGGGAUUGAUUGGGUGGUCUCAAAAGACUUUCCAGCUUGUAGUUAUUUUCUUUUAAUGCUUUUUUUCUGGAGAUGCAGAAUUGAUGGAAUUGUAAUAUGCACUCUUUAGUGAUUUGGGUUAAUGGAAGGCAAAAAAUGGUCAAUGAGAUGUGGAACAAAAUCAGAAUCAGAUUUUGUGGUCUCUUUUUUCUCUCUGUUCUAUUUCUUCGUUUUCUCUAUUUCCUUUUCCUAUCUAGCAAACAAGUUGGUGACACUGGAUUCAAACCAAAAGAGAUUGCAAAACAGAGGAAGUAACAAAUCUUUUCACCUGUUGACAUCAGAUUUGCUAAUGCUAGUGUUAAUGAUCACAAACCCAUGCUCUGGCCUGUUGCACUGUUCAUUGGAAGAUCUGAAUUUUGUAGAAUAUUUUUAAUGCUUCUUCAAGGUCUAUUUCCUAAUUUCUUGUGAUUUCUGGAAAAAGUGGCUUCUUUAACCUCAUUGUAGAUUUUUAACUUCUGAUUUAUUGAACAACAUUAUAAUGUUCAAUUUUUGAUGCAGAGUGUUUAAGAAUUGGUUUAGGCCUGGAUGGAGCUAAUGUUUAAUUGGCAAUGGAGCAAUUGGGUUGUGGUUGUGUGCAUAUUUUCUUUUAACAGGUCUUUUGGCCUUGAAUUAUUUUUUUCUCCAGAAGCCUCUAAUAGGUUAUGAUAGAACUUAUUUUUUGGACUGAGUUCCCUUAUUUGUAUUCUAGUUGGGUGUGUGGAUGCUGACUCUUGGAAAAAAAAACAUGCAUCUUCCAUUACUUGCUCUGGACCUCACAUCUUAUUGCUGAUAGCUCAAGCUCAGUCCAUGUUAGUUCAGGCAAUUCUAAUUCUUAGUUGGCUAUAAGGUUCAAUGGGACCAAUCACCAUCUGAUGCAGAUUUCCCUAUGAAUCCAAUCAAGCUUAUGGUCCCCUGGUACACUGGCUCGGCCUUGAUCCCAUCACAUCUCCUAAGGUAACAACAAAACCUCCCUCCAGUCCAAUAAGAUCAUACUGAUGGGAACACCUGAGAAGUCUUCAGUAAUCAACAUUCAGGAAUAUGAAAAGUAGUGAAGAAUACCCAAUAAAAAAAAUAAAAAAAUCAAUAUCCAUAGGAAAGGAAUAGGAGUAUAUUCAAAAGAGACAAGCUACUAAUUUUGAAAUUGAAGAAUUGUUUCUUAGAUCAUUUCUUAUAUGGGUGUCAUGGUUUUCUUUUUUGUUUUUUGUUUUUUUGUAACUUGAGUCAGGGUGGCGCUUGACUGCUUGGUUGUAUCUUGCAGUUUUUGUCUUCCUUUUCCUUAUCAACAUCCAUGUGUGCUGUGCUCUGUGUGUUCACUUUAAUUAUACCCCUUGGUGUCUUGUAAUGAAUUUUUUUUUCUCAAAAUAAUAAAGAAAGAUAAUCAUACAUCAAACUAUUUUACCAUGGUAUAAAUCUUGUUGAGUGCAUUUGAAGCUGAACUUGUCAACAUGAACGCUUCUUGAUUAUUCAAAUAUAACCAUUAUGAUGUAUUAAUAUUUUAUCCUGUUCUUUUUGUGAAUGUUUGUCCUUGCUUUAUUUUGUAGUCUUAAUUUUAAUGUUUUUGACUGCUAAAUGAUUACAAAAUCAUGAAGUUGUAAUUGUUGCAUUGAAUUUGAAACCAUCAUGAAUUGCAAAAGAAGGGGGGGGGGGGAAGGAAGUAAUAGAACUGGGAGCUGAAUUAAGCUUUUGUUGCAACCUUGCAGGUAUAUUUUAAAAGUGACAGUUGGUCGUAACUUUGUGAGCAAUAUAGUGGAGUACCAGGACUUUGUGGUAAUCCAUUUUUUUAGUCUGUGAGCUUACUGAGAUUUUGUGCUAUCAUAAUUGAGUUCAUUAUACCAAAUGGCUAGUGUAUUCCAAGUCUACCAUCUUGGCUUAUUCCUUUUUCACUUUCCUGUUUUUAAUAUCCAAUUGACUGUUUAAACGCUACAGAAGUGCUUUUAGAUGUUAGCUCCAGGUCCAUGCAAUGGCUCUUCUAGCACUUUUUAUAAUCUUUCUUUCUUUUUCUUCAUAUGAAAUUUAUAGGCCUGGAAGGAAGGAGCUAAUGCAACAGAAUUUUGUUAUUGAGUGAAAAACAAGUAAUUUUUGUGCAGUUUGUAAAUGGAAAAAAGAGUUUAUUUGUACCACUAAUAUCUAUUGUACUAAGGUUACAGUCUGAAAUGUUUCACAUUGAGUAGACAGUUAUGGUGCCUCAGACACCAUAAUUUCAUUAUUUAUUCAGUAUAUACACAAAUACUUAACAAAGCCUUGAUCCCUACCACUUGGAAUCAGCUAUCCAUGAACACUAGAUGAAUCUAUAUGCUUUACAUUGUUCAUACGUAUCACAACCCUCCUUUAUCUUGGCUUAGAAUAGGCUGUGUAAAUAUAAGACAUUAGACAAAAAUAAGUGGAGUUUUUUUGGUACUUGUAAAUAAAUUUUAAAUGAAUAAGGGGCCUAAACAUAUGUGUGUCCUUUUGUGUUUAUGUAAUUAUUUUAGAUGCAUUAAUAUAGUUUCUGACUCUAUUUAUAUACACAUAUAAUUUAAAGUCAUUAAGAUAAACAAUCAAGAAAGAUAAGAGCUAUUGUAACUGAUUGUGGGUAUUAGUUUCACUAGUUAUGUUUCUGUUUUUUAGUCCUAGGAUGAACUCAACUGCUCCAUAUUAAUUUAGGAAAUCUUUCAGCAACAUGGAUAGAUGCAAUAUCAUAUCUGUCUAUUUUGCUGUUGAUAAUUUAAAAGUUCUCAUAUCUGAUAUUUAAGUAUAUAAAUAUAAGGGUGUUGCAGAACAGUUUGAAAUUCGAAUAUUUGUCAGUGUGUAGAUAUAUAGAGUGGCAUACAACAGUUGAAAAGACCUUUAAGUAUUUUAUUGUUGUCAAUAUUCUGCAUCAGGUUCACAACUACACUCCACUGCCAUCAAUUAAUAACAGCAUUAAGGUCAGUAACAAUAUGUUUUAUCUCCAUAUUUUGGUUUCUUGCUAUUGUACCUUUAUUUGUCAUUAGACCGCCCUUUAUAGUGGCAAUUUCUAUUUUCCUGGUACCAUAUCAUUUUAUUUCAAAUUUCCAGUUAGAAAUUACCAUCUGCACUAGACAAAAUCGCAAGCACAUUAGUUGUCUUGCAUAUCUACUCAUUCUGUGUUCAAUACUUAGUUUUUUGCUGCAUUUCAUUGUAUCCAUCUCCUUGGUUAACCUUAUAACUGCAUCUGUCCUAAGUAUGCACUGUAGCCUUUGAUAUGGCUGUUUCCUGUUCAGAUCGAUUUUGUUAUAGUGAUACUGUUGAUAACUCUUUGGAGACUCAGAACAAAAUCACCAUAUUAACAUCUGUGAUAUGAACCAGAAAUCUUGAGUAGGUUUCAGCCAAUGAGUCCAGUUGUCAUGUCAUAUAUUCCAGUUGUUCCCUUUUUAAGUUCAUGGUUUUUUGCCUUCCUGUACUCCACAGGCAAAUAGACACUAAUUGUCCAAUUCAUUUUCUUUAUUGAUCACAUGUCCUCACAUUGAUGUGUUAUGUUAGAUGGAAGUUGGAAUUGAGGAUUGUCUACACAUUGAAUUCGAAUACAGUAAAAGCAAGUAAGUCUAAAUGAAGCUCAUGCUGGUAUGGGCCAGUUUUUGAAAGAUCCUUGUGUCCUUUGGGGCAAGUUCUCUUUAUUUCCUUAAUGAAGUCUAAAUUUUUAGGUAUCACCUGAAGGAUGUUAUCAUUGGAAAAAUUUAUUUUCUUCUUGUGAGAAUCAAGAUGAAAAACAUGGAGCUUGAGAUUAGGCGUCGAGAGUCAACAGGAUCAGGGCCUAAUACUUAUGUUGAGACUGAGACCCUCGCAAAAUUUGAAGUGAUGGACGGUGCUCCUGUCAGAGGUACGCAAUCCCAUUCAUGUGUAUCACAGAUACACCAUAUUAUUGCUGCUUUCUAAUUCAUUAUUGGAAAAUGAGUCUGUCAUACAGUAGUGAUGUUUCCAUGUCAGAGUUUCUUUACAAUUAUUUGCUUGGAUAGAUCUUGCAUGUUGAAGUCCCAUCUUUAUGGCCUGUGUUGGCUGUGUGCUUUCUGCUGUAGUGUUGUUCUAUGGCACCCAUACUACUAGCUUUAUUCAAAUUAUUUCUUUGUUUUUUUAUUCCCCUGGCACUUUGUUUCUUUGGUAAUCACUUCUCUCAUACUAGAUCUACUCAUGGGAUGGAAGGAAAGAGUUACCAUCCCUCUUAAAGAAUAGUAAAAGAAUAAAAUGGAAAUUAUAUUGGAUCACUUUAGUUGGCAGGGUGGGGGUGGUAUGGGGGUAUGGUUGUGUGCAUGUGGGCAGACAGAGUUAAUUUACCAGUCUGUUUAUGGGGACAUGCAUUACUUGCUUCCAUGAGCGUCUCUACUUUGUGACCUAUCUUAUGCACUUCACCUAUGAGUCUCAUCCAUUCAGCAGUGAGUAUAUCAUGUUUUACAUUAAAAUGGCUCUAUGCAAACAGGAAUAUUUUAUUUAUUUUUUUAUUUUUUUAUUUUUAUUUUUGGUGUUUCCCCUUUAUUUCUGUUUUCAUCUCUUUUUGCCUAGGUUUCAUUCUUUUACAUGAAAAUGGCUCUAUGCAAACAAGAACCUUUUUUUUUCACUUUUUGGGGUUGUUUUCCACUUAUUAUUUUUAGUUUUGUUUCUUUUUGCUUAUGCUUCACUCUUAUGUCAUUUUAGACUAUAAUGCAAAGAUCUGAUUGGUGUAGUCCCAUAGAUUUCAAUUUUUACAUGUUCCACUGGUAGCAUGUUCUUUAAGUUGGAUUUUCCCCGUUAGGACAUGGCUUAAUGGUAAAGGCGAAUGUGGGCAUGGGUGGAAGAGGCGCAUGGUCUUGGGUUCGAUUCCUACCACCAAGAACCCUUGGAUUAUCCAGUGUUGGCUGUGGUAGGCUGGUCAAUCACCCUGGGAUUUGGUAACCAUGGGUGGGGCCAAAGGAUCUUGCCAUGGUGGGGUUCUUUGGUUAUCAAAAAAGGGAAAAAAAAUAAUAAUAUAUAUAUAUAUAUAUAUAUAUAUAGGGUUUGGUUGACACUUGACCAUAUUUUUUUAUACUUGUUUUAAAAAAUUAUUUUUAAGUUAAAAAACAAAAAAUAGCUUUUUAGUAUUUUAUAAACAUAAGGGUGUUCAGUAGGUUAUUUUUAGAAAUGAUUUUUUUUUUCUUUUUAUAAAAACAUUGUAAUUUCAAUUUAUAUACUAUUAAUCAAAAUUUAAUUCAAGUCUUAAAUGAAAAUAGCCUUGUAAUUAAAAUAAAUUAAAAAAUAAAUAUUGUUUAGUAAAAUUUGAAUAAUAAUAUUAUAAUGAAAUCAUAAAUUAUAUGUUUUUAUUAAAAAAAAUAUAGUAUUUUAGUAUAUGUUAUAAAAAUAUGGAUAUUAACAUUUUCACAAAAGCAUAAUUGAUUUUUUUCUUAAAAAUAAAUAAUAAUUGUUAAUAAUAUUUUAUUUAAAAUGAAUCUAAAAAAAAUGGUAUUAAGGAAUUUAAAUAUUAAUUAUGUCUCACUUAACUUAGAAUCUAUUUACCCAAUUAGAAAAUUCCAAAAAUAUAGUUGUGUAUAGGACAAAUGGUAAAGUCAUAACUCAUAAUAUAUCUAUUUUGAUCUAUUAUUUUUGUAGUGAUUAGACCUAUUUUUUAAGUUCCAAAUUAAUUUUUAAAAUUAUUGAACUUGUUAAUAAAUUCAUCCAAAGUGUCGCUUGAUUUGAAAUUUAUUUUUUAGUGAGAAAAUUUAUAAAAAUAUAAUUAUAUGUAGGAAAGCAAUGAUAAAGUCUUUGUGGAUCAAUUUUUAUCCAUAAAUUUUGGUAUUAGUUGGGUCAAUAUUUGAGUUUCAAAUUAUUUUUAAAAGGUACUAGACUUGUUAAUAAAUCCAACGUAUUAAGUCUUGUUUGUUUUGGAGUUUAUUUACCUAGUGAAAAAUUUUACAAAAGUAUGAUUAUAUAAAGAGAAGAAACUAACCAAGUCAUUCAAAAUAAAUUUUGGUUUCUAAUGUUAUUGCGUUCUAUGACUUUCUAGUACUAUUAAAUUAGUUUUUGAGUUUCAAAUGAUUUUUUAAAAUUAAUAAAUUUUAUGUAUCAAGUAUAGUUUGAUUUCAAAUUUAUUUGUUUAAUGAAAAAUUUUAGAAAAGUUAAAGGAAAUUUUAAAAAAAAAAAACGCAUGUAAUUCAAAGGAAGAUUAUAUUUAAAGAUUUUCAGUAUUGGUAUUAGAUUGUAGAAAUAAUGAUAUUAUGUUCAAUUUUAUUUGUUUUCAUAUUUUAAAUUUUUUUUUUUUUUUUAUGUUUUCCUUUUGUUUUUAGAAACAGGUGAAAAUAACUUCCGCUUGUUCUCUAAAAAUUAUUCUCUAUUUCAUUUUAUUUUUAAAAACUAGAAAUAGAACAACUGCCAAACAAUGCUAUGAAUUUUUUAAAAACAACUUUCUAUUUUUUUUAAAAAAAACUAUUUUUUAAUCACAUUGCCAAACAAGCUCAUAUAUUUUCUUUAAAGUUGGAUCGUGCAGAACUAUUUGUUGGCUUAAAUUUUGGUAAUUUUUCUUUUUUAUAAAAUCCAAAAAUUUAAAGUUAUGGAGAGAGAAAAAAAAUGGAAGGAAAAAGGAAACCUUAUUAGUGAAUGUGGAAAGAGUAGUUUCCUUCCUCAAACAAAUUUCAAAAUGGUGAAAAAUAAAACAUUUACCAUGAAGUUCUAGCUGAGAAGACAAUCAUACACAUUCAAUGUAUUUUCCUUGUCUGAUUAAUUUUGAUUUGUGACUGCGUUUAUGUUAAGCAUGUACCAAUGUGAAUAUGCAGAUGAUAUGCUGAUCUUUAUUAACCUUCUCCACAUUUAGUAGCUUCCUAAAGGAUUACAAUCUUUGAUCACAUUCAAAGCUUUCCUUUUCUUUUCUCUUUUUUUCUGAAGAAUUGAACAUUAAUAUUCAACAAACAAAAACCAUACUAGGUUUGGAAGUCUUGAAUUGUUGGUAUAUGAUACAUCUAUGUGUGCAUAUGCGUACAUAAUGUGCGAACACUUGUAUAUUUGUUGCAUAUGCACACUUGUAUAUCUGUUACAAAUUUGAGUUUAGUAUAAACUUUAAUUCCUCUACUUUCUGUGUAAAAAUAAGAGAGCAGUUUUCAUUUUGUAACAAGUAAAUUUAUUUUGUUUGAUUUUUUUUUUCCGGCUAAACUUUAUUAUGAAAUCAUUCUUUUUCUAGCCUUAAAGGCUGUAUUUUCUUUUUUCUUUUUUUUUUCUCCAGGGAAUUAAGAAAAUACAGCCUAGUCAUUCGCAUCUGAAUUUUCCUUUUGAUUUUCCCCUUGUACCAUACCCGAAUCUUUAUUAGCCGGCAGUUCAACUCAUGCUUUACAGAUUAAGUAGCUCUAAUGUCUUACUUUGGGCUUUGCCGUUUAGAAUUUUCUAUAUGCUUUUCCUGAAGUAGACACAAAAAUUUGAUGAAAUUAGAUGGUAUAUCUCAUUAGUACCAAUAUUUGUUCCUCUUGGAUUGUGCUUGAUGAUGGGUCCAUUUAGAUGAAAUUAUCUCAGCUCCAACAAUUUUUUGCCCUUACAGGAGAAUCAAUUCCAAUCAGGCUGUUCCUGAGUCCUUAUGAAUUGACCCCAACAUAUCGCAACAUCAACAACAAGUUCAGUGUGAAGUACUUUUUGAAUCUUGUUCUAGUGGAUGAUGAGGAUCGUCGGUAUUUCAAGCAGCAAGAAAUCACAGUAUACCGCCUUCUUGAAACCUCUUGAUUCUGCAUUCAGUUCCGAGGAGCUCAAACAUAUUCCCAUGAGAAGAAAGGAUCAGUAUGCACCUUAACUGACAACUGCAGUGGCAUACUCUGUUGGAUCCUUUCCUGUAUUCACAUGAUCUAUAAGGGAUUUAGUUCUGUUGUCCAAACCAACAGUGCUUACAUUGGCCAGCCUCCUUUUAUCAAAAGGGCAUGCUAUGUUGCAGUGCUUGUUGGACUAUCUGUUUCGUCUUUUACCUAGGGCUUGUUCAGUACUUGGAAACGGAAAUUUAAAGUGGGAUUUGAGAUUUUUUUUUUUUUCCUUUUUUCAUGACUGAGUUCUUGAAGCUUAUUCUUUUAAACAAAUUAUAUCAUACAAAUGGUCAAUUGUGAAUCGUCUUGAUGUAUGUGGAAUAUUUGACCGUCAAUUAUCAAAUGUUAUGACGUUCAUUUUCUGCAGUAGGAAUGGUCCGUUGUGAGUCUUGUGACCUAUUUAGAUAGAUGCUUCCUGAGUUACUUUUCUUCGUUUGUUUGGUUGCUGAGAAACUUACAGGGAAAAAAAAAGAAUGGUAAAGGAGAAAACAAUAUUUUGAACCCUAUGCUUCAUAUGGUUUUGCUCACCAAGGCAUCAAUAACUUGAAGCAAUUGGACCAUGUUGUACCAGGCACAUUUUAGAUUGAAUAUGUUGUGGUUUUUGCUUUAUUUGCUUUUCAUGAAUCCAUUGCACUACCCAACUGGUCUCAGGAAAAGUGGUAGAAAUACACUUCAAUGCCACACUAAUCGGAAACAUAGAUUCAAAAAAUGUUCAGCUUUAGGUACCCGUUAGGGUAGUUCAGUUGGUCAAGACGAAUACUAAAAAGUGUGGUCCUAGUAAGUGACACAUGGUAUUGAGUUUGAAUUCUAUCACUAAUGAUACCCUGAAUUUAUCCGGUACUAGUUGUUACAAAGUAAUUAACACCUUGAGAUUUGGGUCCUAUGAAGAGUCCAAAGGGCUUGACUAUGGAAAAUUCCUUGAUUAUCAAAACAAAAAAUUGUUCAGCUUUAGAUGAUUAUAUAAUAGGCGAUGAAAAACGGAAAUGUGAGUCAGUUUCAUUUUCAUUGGUUAAUAUAUUUGAAUUAUAUUUUUUAGAAUGACAAUGGGAAUAAAAAUUUCAUUACUACAAAAAUCAAAUUUCACGAUCUUGAUUCCUUUUUUUUUUUUUUCCUACUCGGUAUUGUGAUUUAUUUUCAUGUUCAUCCAAUUUCUGUUUUUUAUUUUUACAUAUCACAUUGUUUUAGAAUGUCAAAAUAGGGAAUGGGAAAAAAAAAUCAAUUUUACUCCAUUUAUUAACAUGUUAAGAUUGAAUUUUAUAAUAAAAAUAGGAAUAAAAAAAAAUGUUAAUAGAGAAACCAAAUCUUGAUUUCAUCAUGAUUUUGAUUUCUCAUUUCUACAUAAAAUUAUCAUUCAUCUACAUCCCAUCUUACUUUCAUUUCUAGUCUCACAUAGCAGAGAUACAAAAUUGAGUUUUAUAUCAAUGUUUUAAAAAUCAGACCGCCCAAUCCAACCAGUUGAACCAUCAACCAAAGUAUGGUCUGAUUCGGAGUACACUUUGAACCGACCUUGAAUCAAACAGACCAACAAUUGGACCAUUGAGCCGAUUAACCGAUCUACCGAUUCUAGGUUGGUUCUUUUUUCCCCUCCAUGAAAGAGUAGGAAGAAGCCCUGGGGAUCCAAAGCUCACCUCAUUAUAGUAACAUAAUUUUUAAAAAUUUUUAAAUACUAAUUAAUAUGUAAAAAAUAUAAGUAAAAUAAAUUAUAAGUAAAGGAAUUUUCUUCUAUUUGGAUAUAUUUCCUCACAUUUAAAUAUUAUACAUAUUUUAUUUAUAAAUUUUUAAAUAUUAAUAUAUAUUUAUAUUCAUAAUUUAAGUUUGAUAAUAUUAACAGCGAAAAAUAAAUAUUAUUAUUUUUAAUUUUUUAUAUAUUUUUAAAAGUUUUAUAAUUUAUUUUAAAUUUUAAUAUAUAAAUUAUAUAUUUAUUACUUAAUCGAUUCGAUGACGAUUCAAUCAUUGGUUCGACUAUUUAACUUUGAAUCAAUAACUCAUCUAAUUCUAAAAACAUUGGUUAAUAAUAGCUACAAGUAUUUUCGUCUCUCUCCCAAAUACCUCCAAUACUUGUGAACAAGAUUUAAAAUAUUGGGAUAUCAACAAUCUUCGACACAAAAUUUGCAACCGAAAGCUUGAUGGGAUGAAAAAUCGCCAAAAUAAAAAUCGUCAAUAUAUCGGUAAAAACCGAUAAAAUCGCUGAAAAAAUUGACUAGUGAAAAGGGCCAUCAAAAGCGUCAAAAAAUCAACGAUAAUUCAUUCGUCCCUAUUCCACCUUGAUCCAACAACUUGAUUUGAAAAUCUUCUAAUCCAAUUACCCAUAUUCCACCUACGUUUUUGUAAAGGUAUCCAACAAUCAAAUUUGUGAUCCAAUAGUGGAAAAUGAAUCUUGACUUGAUUCAACAGAUAGGAAAUGUUCCCAAGGCUAGAUCAAGAUCUAAUGGCCAAAUUUUUCAAAUUUCAAUCCAACGGUUAGAAUUAAUUUACAACAGUUAUUUGACCAUCCAAUAGCUAGUUUAACAAAAAAAAAAUUAUAAAUACCCAAAAUUCAUUUCAUUUCAUAUAUAAGUGAAUUAAAAGCUUCUUGAUCUUGUAUAGGUUUUUUUUUCUCAAAAAAAAAUAAUUUUGGGAAUUUGAUGUUGAAGUGUUGGAUUAACUUCAAAUCAAGGCUAAUUAAUGCAUGUUUUCACUUUUCAUAAGAUUUAUUUUUAUAUAUGCAUAGUUCAACUUUAUUCUUCAUUAGUAAUAUUAUAUUAUGAAGCGUACAUAUGAUAUAGUUUAAUUGAUAUUACCUAAUUAAUAUGUUUUCAAUUAUUUUAAAGAAAUUAAAUUUUAUUACUUUCAUAUUAAAAGUAAAUAAAUAUUAGUUUCAUAUUGAAAUUAAUUAUAAUGAUUUGUCUAUAUAUAUCAUUUUAAUUUCAAUUUCAAUUAGUAAUGUUAAUUAUAAAGUUUAAUAACAAUAAUAAAUUAAUAAAGUUUAAUAACAAUAAUAAAUUAACUUAGAUGUUUAAUUUUAAUAAUUGUAAAUUAGUUUCAUAUAUGUAAAAUUUAAUAUAACAUAUAUGCAUAAUCCAAUUUUAAUUUCAAUUUCAAUUAGUAAUGUUAUUUAUAAAGUUUAAGUACAAUAAUAAAUUAAUUUAGAUGCUUAAUUUUAAUAAUUGUUAAUUAGUUUCAUAUAUGUAAAAUUUAAUAUCACAUAUAUGCAUAAUUCAAUUUCAAUUAGUAAUGUUACUUAUAAAGUUUAUGACUAAUAGUAAAUUGACUUAGAUAUUUAAUUUUAAUAAUUGUAAAUUAGUUUCAUAUGAAAUUUAAAUUUUAGCAUUUGUCUAUUCAAUAUCAUAGAUAUACAUAAUCCAAUUUUAAUUUUAAUUUCAAUUAGUAAGGUUACUUAUAAAUUUUAUGAAUGAUAGUAAAUCGACUUAGAUGUUUAAUUUUAAUCAUUGUAAAUUAGUUUCAUAUGAAAAUUAAAUUUUAGUAUUUGUCUAUCAAUAUUAUAUAUUUGCAUAGUUUAAUUUGCUACUUUAAAUUUAAUAUUAGUUUCAUAUUCAAUUUAAAAUACAUGUUUAGAAAAUAGCUAGUGGAAGUACAAGUGCAGGUGGAAGCGGUGUGAGGGGCCAAAAUCCUACUUGGAAAUAUUAUACACAUUUGGAGGGGAACAAAAAUGGAACAACAUGCAACUACUCUAGUUUGACCAUAAAAGUGAUGAAACCAUUUUGAAUUUUGCCUAUCAAAUACAUAUCUUCAUUCAAAUACCAAAAAGUGUCUUAGAGUACCUCACAAAGUGAAAUAAAAGAUAAGACAACUUUUACAUAAAAAUAAUAAUAAUAAAUAAAUAAAUAAAGGCAAAAGUGAAGAGAGUUAGCUGCACAUAUAGAAAAGAUUUGAGCUAAAUUGUGGAACACAAUGGGAGAAAGGCAUAAACAUGUUCAUGGCAUAUUCAUACUUACAAUCAAUAUUAUCAAAACUCCAUGUCUUGGUACAAAUAUUGUCUUCAACAAAAUGAGAUCUCUUCAUUUUGGUACUAAAAGACUAUUACAAUGUAAUAUACAUAAAUUGCUUUCAUUGAAUGAAAUCAAAUAUUUCUUAUUUUGAUUCUAAAUAUGCACUUCCAAAAUUCAUAUUUUAUAUCUUUAAAAUCAAAAUAUUGAUAUAUCCGUAUUUACCAAUAUUUUUAUAUUUGAUCAUAUAUAUAUCAAUUACACUUACAAAAUAACAUUAACAUGUUUAUUAUUGCUUAUUUUAUCAUUCCUUGAAGUUUUUCCAAACAUUUCCAUGAAUUUUAUAUAGUUUUUACCUCAUCAAUAUUUUUAUCAAAAUAUCUACCCCUAUUUUAUUGAUAUUUUUUAUAUAUCAAAAAAAUUUAAGUACCAAUAUAUUUGUAUUUAUCAAUAUUUUCAUUCUUACUUGCAAAAAGACCACCACUUAACAAAGGAUGAUAUGUAAACAAACAAUUUCCCCCUUUUUUUCAAUUUGCCUAUUGACUAACCUUCAUGGAUUAAAUAGUGUGAAGCGUUGUUGAUGUAUAGGAAACACAGUUGUUUGGGCUAGAGGGGAGGGGGAGAGAGUUGGCAUUACAAAACCAAUAAAAUAUUUCAUGAUUAGCAAAUAUUAGAGAGAGGGAGAGAGAGAGAGGGAACAGUAUAAUAUAUUAACCAAGGUAAAAUGAACCAUUUGCAAAGGCCUUCCAACCCUUCUCAAAAGCUGCCCAUGGCGUGGAUGGUGCUUUUAAAAAAAUUGAACUUCCACAAAAGGCUUCAUCUUCAUCACUUCUUGGACUUGGAUGCUUUGAAUAUAUUCUCCCGGUAGUAUUUGAGUUCCCUUAUGCUUUCUCUGAUAUCAUCCAUGGCUCUGUGUUUAUUUUCCUUUGAAGGAGCCUUUUUCGAGUCUGCACAAGCCAUUAACCAUUCCAUUAAUGAAACAUUUUUUUUCUUCAUAAAUUUCAAAUACAGGGUAGAAGUUUGUGAUACAAGUUGUAACUGGAGUGUUCCAUGUGCCAUUUCUGUUAUAAAGAACAAUUAGUCCACACAAUCAGGGGCGGCUCGGUUAUCUUUCUAGCAUAACAUAAGAACAACAGAAGCAUCUGGAUACACUCAUAGGUCACGCUUCCCUGGCCCCAACCAAUGCCUAGGAUGCUUUGGGCCAAAAUCAUAUUCAGCCUUUGUAUAUGAAUUUUUAAAUGCCAAACAGAAUACAUUCUCAUUUGCUACUGUCACAUGUCAAGUAACAGGGAAAAACAAGAGCCAAAGUAUAAUGAGGUUGCAAGAUGAUGAGCUGCAUUGCAUGAUAUAAGUCGAAUUUCAUAAGCGUAUCAUGCAAACUGAUGAAAAUCAUUACUUAUUUAUUCCUUUAUAGUGUCUUUCACCUCCACUACUCACAAAGUUAAAUAGAUAGCCGUUAUUUUUAACUUAUUAACUUUCUCCAUUGUCAAAUAAGAACUAUAAUUACAUGACUGUUUCUUCAAGUAUAAGUUAUUUUUAUAUGGGGUUCCAGGUGCCUAUAGCAAUGACCUAGGUAUUCCCCAGGAGACUUUCGUGUGGAUUUGACUCAAUUGUGAAUGUUAUACCUGCUUAGGAUUCUUAAGAAUUUGAAUUGGAAAGGAAUAACAGGCACAUUGACAAAAGAAAAAGAAGUCAACAUGCUUUGGAGACCACUACAAAACUAAAAUUCAGAAUUCAGAUAGAUAUAAGGUUUUUACCUCGAGGAUACCAUCGGAUGCAUAAAGCUUUAAUACUGCUAACAUCAACAAGAACAUGAGAGAAAAGACUAGCCAAAUCUGGCAUAUAUUUCUGCAAAAAUAAAUAAAUAAAUAAGCAAAUAAAAAUAGAAAAUAAAAAGCUGACUAAGAAGGCUGCAGAUGCAACUAAAAGAAAGAAGCUUAAGCAGAAAACUAGAUAGUACAUUGAUGCACCUAUGAUGAAGUGGCAGCUAUCAAAGAUGUCGUACAAGGCUAUUAUUCAAAUUAAGUAUACCAAAAAAAAAAAAAUCCAAGAAUAGCAUUAUUUAAGAAUCCUCCAUCCAGCAAAUGGUUAAUAUCAAAAGCAGCCCAGAUUUGGCCACUGAGGGAAUUGCAUGUAAAAUAUAUAACACUAAUACCCAAUAUUAGGUGGGGUCAUUGUUUCCUAUGAAAGAGGCCUACUGCACAUUCAUCAUGCAAUUGCAUCUAGUUUUUUAGAAUUAUAUAUAUAUAUAUAGCUAUACACACUGCUAGAAGGAGCACAUGACAUUCUUUUCUUAAAUGGGUCAUUUCAAAAUGAUAGCUCCUAUUCUAACUAAGGUCUAGAAAUCCAUGUGUUGACACUGGGUCCUCUCCCAUCCACAUGGCUAAUGGUCCAGCCACAUAUACAAGGCCAGGCACCAUGGGGUAGGACAAUCCAUAUAAUGCACGACCAUGAGCAUCAUGGUUCCAUUCAGCUCCAGUACAAGAGCUGUGGAUACGGAUGCAGUCCCUUGGGAAGAUGAGACCACUUCAUAUUCUGAUGAAACCAUUCCUUAUGGCAGCUGCCAAAGAGGCCCCCAUAUAGGGUGAAGCUGUACAUGCACAACCCUUGCCUGCCAAGUGAGCUUUGACCGAAUUGCAGAAAAUAGGUCCAGGCCCCCAUUCAUGUUCAACAACUGAGUUUCUUCCCAAAUUGUUAAGGUGUGAGUAGCAACAGUCCAAUGUAAACAGAGAAGAGAUAACUGAUCCUUGCAUCUGCUAAAAGCCUAAGACUACUAGAAGUGGAUGCCUUGAUGGCCAUUUGAGAUGGCACAGACAAGAACAUCCCUAAAGUUCAGAACCUUCAUUAUCUCCUUAUGUCUGAGAUCCACCUGACAUGUGGUUGUGUCAUAGUGGUCAGAAGGAAGCAUCUCUACUUGCACAACAGAAAAGCAAAUUACAAAGUCACCUGGUAUAGAGGCACUUGAGAUGGCAUCAUUGUCAAAAAAGGGGAGCAUGAAACCACCUAAUGGCAUUGAGGCCCAGAGGCUAUGUACCAUAGUUCAAAGUCGCGGUAUCGGUCAUUGACUCGGGAGGUCCUGAGGCACAUCGGUAUCGGUAUCUCGGAUCGGUAUCGGGUGAUAUGCAAAAAAUUCUAAUUUAAGAGCUCAAAAUAAUUUUAAAAAAUUAUAAAAAUUAUUAAAAAAUUAAAUACAAAUAAGUAGAGUAAAAAAUUAAUAAAAUAAACUUUUAUUAUAUUAAAAUUAUUCAAAUUAUAAUAAAAACAUAUUUUUGGGAUGAUUUAUAAUAAUAUUAAAAAUCUUUAAAAAUAUUUUAAUUUAAUCACUUGAUGAUAAAUAUUUUUUAUUGAAGAUGAAAAUAAUAAAAAGUAAAUUUUUUUAAUAAAAAAUUAUUUAAAUUAAAUAUUUUGAAUUUUUUUAAAAAUAUUUUCAAUUAUUAAAACAAAUAAAACCAUAAUUCAUCUUUAAAAAAAUAAAUAUAAUUUUUCUUAUAAAAUAUAUUCAUUAAUUUUAAUUUGUAUUUCUUAUUUAUUUGAUAUAAGCCUAUUAUUUAUUAUUUAUUUUUUAUCAUUAUAAUUUUUAUCAAAUUAUUUAAUACCCAUAUUCCCACCAAAUACUCAUAAUCUAAUUAAAAAAUAAAAACAUAUUAUUUAAAACCUAAAUCCUCAUCACAGAUGCCCAUAACCCUCGGUCAUCAAAGAUACCCAUUUCAUUGAGAGGGCGGCGUCAAUGGCUGAGCUCCUAGCGCGACUGGGUGAGUCGCAGGUGGUGCAGGCGAUUGGGGCGCGAGCGGGCACGAGGUCCGGGGCUGCGUCACGCCUGACGCCAGGCCGCUAACACCGCGAACGGGUUCGGCAAGGCCAAGCUGGGCCUGAAUGGUGGGCGACGGUGGCGGCAUUGCUGAACAUCGAUGAUAACAGCAGUCCGGCGACUCUGCUCUUGAUGUUGCUCAGUUCCAUCUCCGGCAGGAACUUGGGCGAUCCGAACAAGCAGGCGUGCUUCUUCGACCUCGCCGACAACUCCAAGAUGCAGGAUUCUAACUCUGUAUUUUUCAUUUUCGUGGGUUUUGAUCCUCUCAUCUGAUCUUCUCCACAAUUUCUACUCCAACUCGGGUAUCGGUCCGGUACCGGCCAUGGUCGAGGCGGAUAUGACUCGGCCGAGUCGUACCGGUCUCGACCGAGAUUUUGAACCCUGCUAUGUACAGUCCUUCCUUGGCCUAGAGUAGAUCUGCCAAUAGUGGGCAUUCUUUUUUUUUUUAUGGAUAAAAGGAUGUAUAUUAAAUGAGAAGAGGAAGCACCAAAAACAGUGCCCUCAAAGUAUACAGGGAGUAUACAAACAAGCCCAAAGACACACUCCUAAGGGGAAAGGAAAGCAACACAUCACCUUCCCUUACUUAAAGCCUAACCAAUCUAAAAAACUUACAAGAGAAGAAGGGCUCAAAAUUAAAGAAACCCUAACCCAAGACCAAAGAUUACAUACAAAAGAAUAUUUCAGUCUUUGAAGUGAAAGUUCCUCAUUCCCAAAAGCUAAUAAAUUCCUUUCCUUCCAGACUGACCAAAAUAUACAUAAAGGGGCCAUUUGCCAAGCCUUCUUUCGAACUUUCCCCACAAACGCUCCAUGCCACCCAAGAAGAGUUUCCUUCACUGUACACGAUAGAGUCCAAGUCACACCAAAAAGGGAGAAAAGAAGAUUCCACAGGACCCACGUCUUAACACAAGUUAAGACUUUACCCUAGGAGGCCUCCCAAGCAAAGAAUGCUACCUUAGGAGGCACUCUCACCCUCCAAAUACUAUCACUAGGGAACACAGAAGAACCUCUGGGCUCCAAAAUAGAAUAAAGAGACUUGACUGAAAAAGCGCCACACUUUGAUUAUAUCCAAAACACUCUAUCUUCCUCCUCCCUUUGCACUCGAAAGGCUUGGAUCUUAUACAAAAAAUGCUCCACCAACUCAAUCUCCCAAUCAUUAAGCGCCCUUGCAAAAAGAGAGGUCCAACCAUCCCUUUUUUUUUUUUUUUUUUUUUGUCAGAAACGAAGAAAAGUAUAUUAAUAGAGGAAAAGAUACAGGAGAAAGAAGAGAUACAAGAGAAAGAGAAGAAACCAAGAGAAGGAUGAGAGGUCCUUCCCACAAAAUAAAAACUGAAACAAAAGAGAAAACACCCAACUAAAGAAAACUAAAAACACAGAAAAACCCCAACACUCUCAAACUUUUGAAGCGCAAACCGUAGUCCAAUUGAGUUGUAAAACACUUAGAGAAACUCCUCUAAAAGUUACAGUACAAGAGGCCCAAAGAGAGGAAUAGAACAGAAUCAAGUCCCAUAACAUCUCUUCUGUUCUCCCCUUAUCCUUAAAGAUCUUAUUGUUUCUCUCUUGCCAUACCAUCCAUAACAAAGUAAGGCAAGCGAUUUGCCAAAGUGUCUUGCUUCUUAAUGAGUUCCCCAAGCCUUUAAAAGUAAUAACCAACAUGUCCUCAAUACUCCUUGGAGGAACCCAAGCCAACCCUGCUAGAUUGAACAACUUGUGCCAGAGUCCAAUAGUAACAGGGCAAUGAAGAAAUAUGUGGUCUAUUGAUUCUCCAUUUCCUUUGCAAAGAAUGCACCAUUGAGGACCGAGGGAUUUGUAGGGUCUUCUCAAUUGCAACUUGUCAUUGGUGUUUACCUUUCCAUGUGCUACUAACCAAGCGAGGGCCUUAACCUUUGAAGGGGCUUUUGAACUCCAUAAGAACUUGGCCGGAAGGAACAAGAUAGGAUUUGAGACUUUUGACAAGGCCAAGAAAAAAGAUUUCACUGAAAAUAAGCCUGAAGAUGACAAAGACCACGCUCUUGAAUCUGUCAAAGAAGGAGAGAAAAGCACUGAACUAAGGAAGGACAUUAAACUCUGAAGGAGAUCGAUUUCUGAAUCAGUAAGAUUGCGGCGAAAAUUAAAAUUCCAAGAUAGUGGAAAGGAAUUGUCAAGGACAUUUGAGACAGUGAGGUUUUUCACAAAAAUAACUCUAUAAAGUCCAGCAAAUUGAGAGCACAAAGUUUGGUUACCCCACCAAUGAUCUUCCCAAAAAUGAAUUAUUUCCCCAUUCCCCACCACUAGGCAGACAAAAGGGGAAAAAUCCUGGAAAACUUGAGCAAUAGCCUUCCAAGGACAUCUGUGUGACCAUCUAACCACCAUGUUGGUGUCUCAUCCAUUAGGAUGUGUCCCAUAAAUACUCGCAAUAACCUUAUACCAAAUACCACUCCUUUCUCUAGGGAACCUCUAAAGCCAUUUCCCUAAGAGAGCAAUGUUUCUCAAAGAAGUUUUCCCAAAACCCAAACCUCCUAACUCCUUUGGUCUACUAACAACAUCCCAUCUGAUAAGAUGAUCUUUCUUCCCUUCCCCCACCCCAGACCAAAGAAAAUCCCUUUGUAACUUCUCAAUCUUUGAGGCUAUUGAUGCUGGGAUUUUGAAGAGGGAGAGGAAGUAGCUAGGGAUGUGAGACAGACUUGACUGAAUUAAAGUAAUCCUCCCUCCCAGCGACAAAAAGGUUUUUUUCCAUCCAUCCAACCUCCUCGAAAUUCUCUCAACCACCGGAUCCCAAAAGCCUAUUGUCUUUGGGUUCCCUCCUAAUGGAAGGCCUAAAUUAGACAAAAGCCACUCUGACACUCUACAAUAAAAAACCGAGGUCAAACUAGACAACAACUUCUGCCCAGUAUUAAUACCUAAAAUGGUGCUUUUUUUCUAAGUUGAUUUUUAAACCUGAUACUUGCCCAAAAACCAAAAGGAUAAUCUUGAGGUUUUGAAGAUGUUCCAGAGAGGCUUUAGAGAAAAAGAUGGUGUCAUCUGCAAACUGUAACAAAGACACUCUAGUCCUAUCCCUCCCCACAAAGAAACCCUCAAUUAGCCCAGUUCCUCUACUCUAAACAUCAACCUACUUAGAACAUCUGCUACUAAAGUAAAAAGGAAAGAAGAGAGGGGGUCUCAAACCUCUAGAGGCCUUAACCCAACCCUUUGCAUCCCCAUUACCAACAGGAUUCCAGACAUCCGAUACCCAAGCAUUCUUAGACAAAGAGAUGGAAAAUAAAGCAGGGAAUGACUCACAAAGUGGCUCAUCUCCACACCACUUGUCCGUCCAGAAUCUCUCUCUCUGCCCACUACCCACUUGGUAGGUCAAACUACCAUUUAAAAUCAACCACUCCUUCCUUAUUGCUUUCCAAAGCCCAACACUGUAUCUCCCACUUACUACCCGAGUGCGCCAUCCCCCCUCCUCUUCACCAUACUUGUGACUGAUGACUCGCCUCCAAAAAACCUCUCUCAUUGGCAAGCCACCAAUUCCACUUACUUAAGAGAGCGUUAUUCAUCAGAGCUAAAUUUCUUAUACUCAACCCACCUUUCUUUUUAUCCAAGCAAACCAAGUUCCACCUAACAAGAUGUGGUUUUUGAACGAGAGCUCCCCCACCCCACAGAAAAUCCCUCUGAAUCUUCUCCAAACGCAGUCUCACUUUUCUUGGCAAGUAGAAGAGAGACAUAAAGUAGAUAGGCAUACUAGCUAAGAGUGCUUUGGAUUAGAGUGAGUCUCCCUCCUUUUGAAAUAUACUGCUUCUUCCACAUUGCAAGCCUUCUACGAAAACACUCUUCAACACCAUCCCACACAGCCAUUGAUUUGAAGGGGGUCCCCAAGGGCAAACCCUGAUAACAGGAAGGAAGCCCACCCACUUUACAACCCAACUCCAAGGUCAAGUCCUCUAUAUCAUGUACUACCCACCGGGAUUAACUCACCCUUCUCUAGACUGAUCUUCAACCCUGAACACGCCUCAAACCACAUGAGGAAUCAACUUAGAUAAGUCAUCUGGUCUAAAGACUCCUCACAAAAUACCAACGUAUCAUCCGCAAAUAACAAAUGCGAGAUUAGAAUCCCCUAACCACUCCUACCUCUCACCCUCCACCCAAAUAAGAAGCCCCCACUAAUAGCCCUUCUCAAUAAGCAACUAAACACAUCCACGGCUAUCACGAACAAAUAAGGGGAAAGGGGAUCUCCUUGUCUCAACCCCCAACUUUGGAAAAAACCGGAAGAGGAACCAUUUAUUAAAACAGAAUAUUUCACAGAAGAGAUGCACCAUUCUAGCCACUUUAGCCAUCUCUCCCCAAAACCCAUCUUUUUAAGUACUGCCAUCAAAAAACUCCAGCUAACAUGAUCAUAAGCCUUCUCUAUAUCCAACUUACAUAACACAUCCUCUACAUUGUCUUUCAGCCUUGAAUCCACAGCCUCAUUUGCAAUCAAAACUACAUCCAACAUCUGUCUACCCUCCACGAAGGCAUUUUGGGACUCCAAAAUCACUUUCCCCGUCACCUUUUUAAUUCUAUUAGCCAACACCUUGGCCAACAACUUAUAGAGGUUGUCCACAAGGCUAAUUGGUCUGAAGUCUUUUAGAUCUUCUGCACCUCCCUUCUUUGGAACUAAAACCAGGAAAGUAGCAUUCAGUGACUUUACAAAUCUGCUCCUCUCAUGAAAUUCUCUAAAAAAAACCCAUAAUCUUAUUCUUCACCACAUCCCAACAAAACAACCAAAAAGUCAUGAUAAAGCCAUCCAAAUUGGGGGCCUUGUCCUUGCCUAGAUCUGUAAGUGCUGUAAACACCUCUUCUUCCGAAAAAGGAAUCUCCAACCCCUCAGCCUUACUGCUCACUAACCGCAUGAAAGACAACCCCUCAAUACAAGGACACCACCCCUCUUCUUCAGAAUACAGCUUUUGAAACGCUCCCACCACACUAUUUUUUAAAUCAUUCUCCUCUAUAUGCCAGCAACCAUUCACUUUCAACUUGGUCAGCCAGUUUCUUCUACUGUGAGCAUUCGCCAUUCUGUGAAAGAAUCUGGUGUUAUUGUCCCCCUCCUUCAACCAAAAUUCCCUAGUGAUAUAGGACAAUCCUAGGAUGGUUGCCUACACUCAAGGGUAGGUGGACUAGGGUUUUAUUUUUUUUAGGGUGUAAGGAGAUGAACAAAAAAUAAAUUUUAUGGUAGAGAAAAUUAUAAGAUAAGAAAUAGAGAGAAAGAAGAAACAAUGAAGAAAAUAUGGAAAACCUUAGAGUCUCACUAAGGCCUUCUAGGAGUCUCACCUAGAAGAAAAUCAACGAAGUCUCACCAUUGAGGGUUGCAACCUUGCAAUGAAAGAAAAUAUAAUAUUAUUUAUCAAUUCAUUCAUUUGAUUUACAUUGAUUACCCUAUUUAUAGGAUUUUCUAAGAAAUCCAAAGUCUACUAGGACUCUAAUAACCUAUUAUAAUUCUAAUUCUAAUUAUAUUAUAACUCAACUAGCUAAUCCUAAUUAGACUCCAACAAAUACCAAUCUCAAUUCAAUUAAUAUUAAUCCCACUUAAAGUUUACUUAGGUUUUCCCUUUCUUCCUUGAAUAAACUUUAAAAGGCUUUCCCCCAUCAAUUCUCCCCUGCUUGAAAGAACUCAGCUCCGACGAGUUAGAUGCUUGAUACAAUUCACAAAGAUCGGGGUUAAGCUUCUAAAAAUCCGUUGUCGUAAUCCAUGUAUUUUCAGAGUGUGGUUUGCCUUGCCAUUUCACCAAAAAAUUUUGGUAUCCACCUUGUCGAGUAGACACAAGUUGAUCAUCAAGAACAUACUUGACCUCAGGACAUGGGCUAAGAGUAGGUGGUAAUUGAAGAUCCAACUCUUCACUUACAUCAUUGUGAUGGUCAUGGUAGAUAUACAAAUCUUCCACAUUAAAUAUUAGACUAAAAUGCAAGUUUGAAGGGAGCUCUAACAAAUAAGCAUUCUCACCCAACCGCUUUAAUACCCGAAAUGCACCUGCUUUCGUACCCGAAAUGGACCCGCUUUCUUAGCUUGAAGCUUUUGAUAUUUGCUCGGAUGAAAUCUUUCUGUUCUAAUACGUAUUUGAUGAUAUCCACUUCUUAGAUCAAUCUUUGAGAAGAUUAUUGAUCCAACCAUCAUAUCUAGCAUGUCAUCAAGUCUUGGAAUUGGAAAUCGAUACUUGAUUGUGAUUUUGUUGAUUGCACGACUAUCCACACACAUCCGCCAUGAUCCAUCCUUCUUUGGUGUUAGUAGGGCAGGAACUCCACAAGGACUUAGGCUUUCAUGAAUAAAGCCUUUAGUAAGUAAUUCAUCAACUUGCCUUUUUAAUUCAGCAUGCUCUGUAGGAUUCAUUCUGUAGGUUGGUAAAUUUGGUAAUGAUGCACCGGGAAUCAAAUCAAUGGCAUGUUGUAUGUCACGCAGAGGAGGAAGUUGAUUAGGUAACUCUCCAGGCCACAAGUCAGAAAAGUCAUCAAGGAUUUUACGUACGUUUGCUAGAUAUUCCUUAUCUUGUUCUUUAAAUUCUUCCACUUUCCGAGCCAUUAAAACAAAAAUAACUUUAGUUUCCUUGCUCUCAUUUUCAAAUUGACACUUAGUAAGUACCUUUUUUGGUUGUGCCUCCUCCUCUAACUUCUUAAUUAGAGGGACUUCUUUCAUUAGACGAAGGAUCUUCUUACGUCCGUUGUGUAUGAGAGCAUCUGUAUUUUCAUAGCCGUCAUGUUGAACUCUUCUAUCAAAGAGCCAAGGUUUUCCAAAUAAAAUAUGACUUACUUUUAUGGGUAAGACCUCACACCAUACAUACUCUUCAAAGUCCUUACCAAAAAGGAAUGUUACUAAUCAUCGAAAACUUACCGGGAUAGAGGUGUCAUUAACCCAUGCUACUCUAAAUGGAUUUGGAUGUCUCUUUGUUUUAAGGUUUAGCUUCUCAACAAGUUCUUAUGAAGCUAUGUUCAAACUACUACCUCCAUCAAUGAUCAUAGUACAUAAUCUCCCUUGGCAAGAAAUACGUAUCUAGAAAAUGCUAGUACAUCACCAAUCUUCUUCUCCUUUUAACUUUGGGAUAGCUAAUAAAGGUUGUACUACAAGACUAUGUCCUUCCGUCAUACCAUCAUAAUAGUCACAUUCUUCACUAACUUCAUCUUCAUUGUAGGUCUCUUCUUCCUUUGGGUAACUUUCCAAUUCAGAUUUUGGUUAUUCAACACAAAAGUGUAAACCUUUAGUUGGGCACACAACAACAUAAUGACCAUGCCCACCACACUUAAAGCAUAAAGGACUCAUGUCUACUUUUCUAUCCCCAAUACUCAUUGAAGUUUUACCCUUAUUACCAUUCUUAUGAGCCACAUUCGAAGUCUGUUGAGUGUUGCCCCCACCAUUCACAUGAUUAGAAGUUCUCAAGCUUGAUGUGCUUAAAGGUUUGCUUGCUGUCUUGUUGGAGAAAAUGCUCCCAAAUUGUGAACUUGGACACCUGGAAACCCGAAAUUUGAGGCCUUCUUCUAUUUUGAGGGCUAGUUGAUAAACAUCAUCUACGGUAUAAGUGUGUGCAACUAUCAUCGCAAGUUGAAUCUUCAUUCGAAGUCCAGCUUUGUAGCGGGCUGCAAGUUGAGCAUUACUUUCCCGCACUUGAUUUCGAAUGCUCAAUUCAUGGAAUUCUUCUGUAUAUUCUUCAACGGACUUGGUACCUUGUUUAAGGGAAAACAAUUUUGUAUACAUAAGUUGUUCAUAAUGACUUGGGAGAAAGUGCUCCUUCAUCUUCAACUUCAUCUCGUCCCAUGUGUCAAUAGGUGGUUGGCCAAUUCUAUGAACUUGAUUCUCAAUAUUAUGCCACCAUAGAAGUAAUAUUAGAAAACAAUGAGAGGAAAGAGCUGCUGCCAGAAAAUAACUUGAGAACAAGUUAUUCUGCUUUGAUCUGAGGCAUGAUGAAGUGCAAAGUUGAAAAGUUUGAAGUGGAAAAAAAGUCUUUUCAGGUGAAGUUUGAAGGAUCGAAUGGUGGAACUUGGGUAUCAGUAACAGAAAGGAGCCGUGGUUUUGUUGUAUCAGUAGGAUUUGGAAGGGAGGAGGUGGAUUGGUUAACGGAGCACUUGAAGAAAGCUAUGGAGUUGGAGAAUACCAGGGGAUUUACACGAAAGUUCAGGGGCGAGAAUAAGAUUCAUUUGAUGGAGAUUUGCUUCAACAAUAGAGGGCGAUUCAUGAAAAUCACCGAGAUUGCUACAAGAAGGAAACCUCUACUUCUUGUCAUCCCCGAGGGUGUUAAAGGUAGUGGAUGGGAAGUCCUUAGGAGGGCGAUUCUUUCAGUGCAAGAUUAUUCUGAUCAAGUCGGAGAAGAGCUGAAGAAGAUGUUUGGCAAUAAUCAGAUGAGUAAAAGCAUAUAUAGAGGUGGUCGGUCAUACGCAGAGGUGGUUGCAGAGGAUGGAAUUAGGAGUGGAGUUCCAUUAUCAGCUGGAAAAUGGGUUAGAGCCGUAAUAUGUGAAUGCAAAGAAAAAGUUCAAGACUGGACUCAUGAAGGCAAGGCCAUUGCGAGGAUGUUGGGUGUGAAAGGUAUGGUGUCUAUAAACCCCAUUUCCGCCUUUAAGGGGUGUUUCUUUGUGAGUACAGCAGGAAGAGCAAAAUGGUUACAAGAGCAGGAGAGACUUUUAGUGAAAGGAAGGCUUGUUCUCCUAAGAAGAUGGUCGCCAAGAGAAAAUAUGAUUAUUCCUGGAAAAUUCAGAAGGGGUUGGUUAGUGUUGAAAGGCCUUCCUUUUCACUUGUGGGAGGAAGACCAACUGAAAUUCAUCUUGAAGAAGUGGGGGAGGGUGACGGAGGUAGCAAGGGAAGCCGUGAAGCUGUUGGACUUGACGAAGGUGAAGCUGUGGGUGGAGAUGCAUCCUAAUGUCGUGCUUCCAGCGUUGCUUGAGGUGGAAGACGGGGCCUGGAAACAUACAGUAGCAGUUUCAGUCAUCGGAGAAGAGGGCGAAGAUGGCAAUGUCACGUCCGAGACAUCCCAUUGUAGGUACGAGUGGUUGAAAGAAGGGGGUUGCGUCUCUCAGACGCCAAAAUUUGCAAGAGGGGCUACGAGGUAGUAUCAGGGGUAAUGAGUGCUACAGUAGGGAGCUUCUUCCCUGGGCACGUUAUCGGUGUUCGAGUACAAGCAUGGCGACCAAAAGGGAGAAAGGAUGGGAAGGGCGCAGAUUGGGCUUAGUAGAAGAAGACAUUCUUGGGCCCAUAGUGCCUGAGUCUUCUACUAAAGCCCAUCCAGUAAGGGCCCAAAAAGGGAGAAGGAGUCGUGGGCUUCACGCUGGCCCAGACGUCCCUCAAGCCCAUGACGCAGCAACAUCCCUUUCUUUUCCACAGCGAGCAGGCUCCUCUGCAAAAGCGACCACGCAGCCUCGUUCAGGCGAUGAGAGGGCCGACGUCGAGGUAAUACUUGGAGAGGAUGGUCGAGCCGAUGAGUUUCAGGCCCAGACUUCAUCCAACCCUAGCCCACCUUCAGAGACAGAAGAGGUGAGUUAUGGGCGUCGGACUAUGGGCUGUAAGUCAUUAGGCCCGUCGGGGUUGGGCCAAGUUCAAGGAGGAUCGAUGUCGUCUAGCAUGAGAUAUAGGUCUCGAGAGGGAGAAAGCGCAGCGAGAAAGGGGAAAGCUCCAAUGGAUCAGAUGGAAGACUUCACAUAAGGGGAAAAGACGAUGGAUUCAAGGGAGAUGUGGUCCAAACUCUUCCUUCCAAGCGUGGCUAGCCGUCAUAGACAACGGAGUAGCAGCAAGACUCUUCCCCUACGGAGCGCAGCGUCACUUUGCGAAGUCCGCAAUCUGGAAGUGGAUGGCGGGAUGGGAUCUCAACAGAUACGAGGUAUCAGAGAGAGUCCCAUCUUCCGUUGUCUUCUACCAAGGAAAUGCAACAGCUGGUCGAAGGAAGAAACCUCGACGUCAAGAGGAGAGAUGGAAUCGCAAAAAUCCCAACUCAAAGAUGACAAAGGAGGAUUUACGGGCCGAGCGGGGUACGAUCCUUGUGGUUCUUCAGUCACGGUGUCACCUUCUAUUCCAAGAACCAGAGGUAAAGAAAUCAUUUGGGGAGGAAAUUGUGAAAUUCCGGGAGUGGAAAACUUGGAGGUAAGUCAGCCUUUUUCUUCUCAGCCACCCGAGCCUUAUCCCUAUCCUUCCUGUAAUCUGGAAAAGAAUCUUCCAUGUCCCUCCGGUCCUCAUCUCCCAUAUUCAGAAAUUCUUUCCCAGUCUCCUUCGGUAAAUCAAGGUAAAUUUAAAAUUUUCCUGAAAUAGGCGAUGUUGGCCCCUUAAAUUUUGUUGGCAUCCCUGUCCAUGUUGAGGAGGAGAAUCAGAGAGCUGUUUCUAACCAGAUGUCCGAGAGAUCUACCCCUGGGAAGUCUUCUAACCUGAUGCCAGGCAGUCCGGGGGUUAAUGAGGCAUCCCCGCCGGAAGACUUUCUUAUAGAUGGCAUGUCCCCUAGGAAAAUGGCUAAAGUGCGAGAGGUCCUAUGCUCUCUGGACAUUAAGGUGUACUCUAGGAGGAAGAAUAGAGGUCCAUAGGCGUUUGAAUCCAGGUGGAUUUGGUUUGGAGGGUUAGGGCCUGAGUGUUUUCCAUGAAAAUUAUCAGUUGGAAUGUUAGGGGUUUGGGUUCAAGUAAUAAGCGAAGGGUGAUUAAAGAUUUCCUUAGGUUAGAGAACCCGGAUGUUGUGAUGAUUCAGGAAACAAAAAAGGAGAAGUGCGACAGAAGGCUAGUGGGCAGUGUCUGGACGGUCAGAAAUAAGGAUUGGGUUAUUCUCCCGGCGUGUGGGGCUUCAGGAGGGAUUUUGUUCAUUUGGGACUCAAAAAAGUUGUGCAAGGAGGAGGUGGUAUUAGGCUCUUUCUCGAUAUCGGUCAAGUUCGCCUUGGAGGGCUGUGGACCUCUUUGGAUUUCUGUAGUUUAUGGUCCAAAUAGUCCCUCACUUAGGAAGGAUUUUUGGGUGGAACUUUAUGACAUUUAUGGUCUAACUUUCCCGUUGUGGUGUGUGGGCGGUGAUUUUAAUGUCAUAAGGAGAAGUUCAGAAAAAUUAGGGGGCUCUAGGCUAACUUCAAGCAUGAGGGACUUUGAUAGUUUUAUUAGAGAAAGUGAAUUGCUUGAUCCACCUCUUCGGAACGCAUCAUUCACUUGGUCAAAUAUGCAAGAGUCUCCCGUGUGUAAGAGAUUAGACCGUUUUCUUUACUCAAAUGAGUGGGGGCAGCUCUUUCCCCAAGGCAUUCAAGAAACCCUUAUCAGAAGGACCUCGGAUCAUUGGCCAAUUGCUUUGGAUACCAACCCAUUCAUGUGGGGCCCAACUCCUUUUAGAUUUGAGAACAUGUGGCUGCAACAUCCUAGUUUCAAGGAGAACUUUAGAAAUUGGUGGAGGGGUUUUCAAGGAAACGGAUGGGAAGGCCACAAGUUCAUGAGGAGAUUACAAUUUGUUAAAGCCAAAGUGAAGGAAUGGAAUAAGCUUUCUUUUGGAGAGCUUAAUGAAAAGAAAAAAAGUAUCCUCAAGGAUUUAGCUAACUUUGACGCCAUUGAGCAGGAUGGGGGUCUCACCUCUGAAUUGUUAGAUCAAAGAGCCUUAAGAAAAGGGGAGCUAGAGGAAUUAAUUUUGAGGGAGGAAAUCCAUUGGAGACAAAAAGCUAGGGUGAAAUGGGUUAAGGAAGAGGAUUGCAACUCUAAGUUUUUUCAUAAAGUGGCUAAUGGUAGGCGAAAUAGGAAGUAUAUCAAGACAUUGGAAAAUGAAAGGGCCUUAGUGUUGAAUAAUGUCGAGAGCAUCACAGAGGAGAUCUUACUUUACUUUGAAAAACUCUACGCGAAUCCUAUAGGAGAGUCUUGGAGUAUUGAAGGAUUAGAUUGGUCCCCUAUUUCGGAAGAAAGUGCAAUAAGUUUGGAUGCCCCUUUCACUGAAGAAGAGAUUUAUAAGGCCAUAUUUCAGAUGGAUAGGGACAAGGCUCCGGGGCCUGAUGGCUUUACUAUUGCAGUAUUCCAAGAUUGUUGGGAUGUGAUUAAGGAGGAUUUAGUGAGAGUGUUCGCAGAAUUUCAUAGGAGCGGAGUUAUCAAUCAAAGCACUAAUGCCUCUUUCAUUGUUUUUCUGCCCAAAAAGAGUACGACAAAGAAAAUCUCAGAUUUUAGACCCAUUAGUUUGAUCACUAGUCUCUAUAAGAUAAUAGCCAAAGUGCUCUCAGGGCGUCUAAGAGGGGUCUUACAUGAAACCAUCCAUUCUACUCAAGGCGCUUUUGUUCAAGGGAGACAAAUAAUGGAUGCAGUCCUCAUAGCAAAUGAGAUAGUGGAUGAGAGAAGACGAUCAGGGGAGGAAGGUGUCGUCUUUAAAAUUGAUUUUGAAAAGGCUUACGAUCACGUGAGGUGGGAUUUUUUGGAUCAAGUGUUGGAGAAGAAGGGGUUCAGUCCUAGAUGGAGGAAAUGGAUGAGUGGAUGUUUGUCCUCAGUAUCUUAUGCAGUAUUGGUGAAUGGUAGCGCUAAAGGUUGGGUUAAGGCAUCGAGAGGAUUAAGACAAGGAGACCCUUUAUCCCCCUUUUUGUUUACUUUAGUAGCAGAUGUAUUGAGUAGGAUGUUUUUGAGAGCAGAGGAGAGAAAUAUGUUGGAGAGUUUCAAGGUGGGUAGAAACAGAACUAGGGUAUCUCAUUUGCAAUUUGCCGAUGACACCAUCUUCUUUCCUAACACUAGGGAGGAAGACUUGCAGACUCUCAAGAGUCUUUUGUUAGCAUUUGGGCAUAUUUCUGGACUUAAGGUCAAUUUAGACAAGAGUAAUAUUUAUGGUAUCGAUUUGGAUCAAGCUCAUAUUUCAAGAUUGGCUGAGACACUUGAAUGCAAGGCUUCUGGUUGGCCUAUACUCCAUCUGGGUCUUCCUUUGGGUGGGAACCCCAGGGCAGGUGGAUUUUGGGAUCCUGUGAUUGAGAGAAUUUCAAGAAGAUUAGAUGGUUGGCAAAAGGCAUACCUAUCCUUCGGAGGGAGGAUAACUCUCAUCCAAUCUUGCCUUACCCAUAUGCCCUGUUACUUUCUUUCUUUAUUUAAGUUACCCGCUUCAGUAGCUGCUAAAAUCGAGAGGUUGCAGAGGGAUUUUUUAUGGUCAGGGAUUGGGGAAGGCAAAAAGGAUCAUUUAGUCAGGUGGGAUGUCGUGUGUAAACCGAAGGAAAUAGGGGGUUUGGGUUUUUGGAAUAUUUCUCUGAGGAAUCUCGCUCUUUUAGGGAAAUGGUUGUGGAGGUACCCUAGAGAGGGUUCAGCUCUAUGGCAUCAGGUCAUACUAAGCAUCUAUGGUUCACACUCCAAUGGUUGGGAUGCCAACACAAUAGUCAGAUGGUCACAUCGCUGUCCUUGGAAGGCUAUUUCUCAAGUCUUUCAGGAGUUUUCCUCGUUUACUCGAUUUGUGGUAGGAAAUAGGGAAAGAAUUCGGUUCUGGGAAGAUUUGUGGUGGGGGGACCAACCUUUGGGAUCCCAAUAUCCAAGUCUAUUUAGAGUAGUCUUGGAUAAAAACAUACCUAUUUCUUCAGUUCUCGGUCCUACUCGUCUUUUCUCUUGGAAUUUAAAUUUCCGUCAUAACUUGUCAGAUUCUAAGAUUGAGGACUUAGAAGGCCUCAUGCGAUCUCUUGAUGGAGUGCAUUUAUCUCCUUCGGUUCCAGAUGCCAGAUUGUGGCCCUUAUCUUCUUCAGGGCUUUUUUCAGCUAAAUCUUUCUUUCUAGCUUUAUCCCAAUUUUUUGGAUCUCCUCAGGUUUUUCCUUCUAAAUUCGUUUGGAAUUCUCAAAUUCCUUUCAAAGUGCAGUCCUUCAUCUGGUUAGUGGCACACAAGAAGGUGAAUACUAAUGACAUGCUACAAGUGAGAAGACCCUACAAAGCCCUUAGUAUGGAUAUUUGUAUUCUGUGCAUGAAGCAUGGGGAAUCAGCUGAUCAUAUUUUUCUUCAUUGCUCCUUGACGAUGGGGUUAUGGCACAGGUUAUUUCAGUUAGCUAAGAUGGAUUGGGUCCCCCCGAGGAGCAUCCUUGACAUGAUGUACAUCAAAUUCAAUGGAUUUGGUUCGUCUAAGAGGGGGAUAGCCUUGUGGCAAGCUGCAAACAUCGCUCUUAUUCGGAUUGUGUGAAGGGAAAGAAAUGCAAGGAUUUUUGAGGAUAAAGCAAGGAAUUCAAAGUUUCUAUGGGACUCUAUUGUUUUCCUUGCUUCUCUUUGGGCUUAUUGUUCCAAGGUUUUUAAGGGGACUCCCCUUAAUGCGUUACAUCUUGAUUGGAUAGCAACGUGUACUCCAUAAGGAGUGGUCUUUUUAGAGUGUUUGCUUAUUUUUCAAUGUAUUUUUCUAUAGCUUAGCUUUCUUUGGCAGGAGGAUUCCUCAUCCUUCUUUUGUAGUUAUUUUUAUCUAUCAAUAAAUCUUUGUGUCGUUUCCAAUCAAAAAAAAAAAUAUUUUGCCACCAUAGACGUGCUACUCCUUUCAACUAUGCCUUCACAAAACGAAUUUUUCUAUUUUCGGGCAUUGCAUACCAAUCAAAGUAAUCUUCCAUUGACAUAAUUCAAUCAAGAAAAGCUGCUAGAUUUAGUUUUCCAUAAUAUUCAGCAACUUCAAGACGUACCUUUUUAGUCACAUCAUCAUCUAGCUCAAAAAGUCUAGCCCUUGUUUGAGUCCCCAUCAUAAAAUUGUCUUGUUUUUCGCGUGAUUGACUUGGCGAUUGUCUAAAUUGAUGACUUGCAAUCUUCUCUUCAAUUGGUCAUUUUUCUUGACUCUUUUCUAAUAACUUCAUGAUCUCAUCAAGUUUGCUAUUUAGUUGUAUUAUAGCAUCUUGAUGGGAUUGUUGUGUGGCUGAAAUUUCCUCCAAGCGUAUUGUAGCGGCAUCUUGAUUGUUAGAAGUUUUUUUAGAACUCAUGCUGGCAUAAGUUGCUCCACUCCUUAAUUGCAUAUGCCUUCAAGCCAAGAACUUUGGCUCUGAUACCAAAAUUGAUGUAGGACAACCCUAGGAUGGUUGCCUACACUCAAGAGUAGGUGGACUAGGGUUUUAUUUUUUUAGGGUGUAAGGAGAGGAACAAAGAAUAAAUUUUAUGGUAGAGAAAAUUAUAAGAUAAGAAAUAGAGAGAAAGAAGAAACAAUGAAGAAAAGAUUGAAAACCUUAAGAGUCUCACUAAGCCUUCUAGGAGUCUCACCUAAAAGAAAAUCAAUGGAGUCUCACCAUUGAGGAUUGCAACCUUGCAAUGAAAGAAAAUAUAAUAUUAUUCAUAAAUUCAUUCCUUUGAUUUACAUUGAUUAGUCUAUUUAUAGGUUUAUCUAAGAAAUCCAAAGUCUUCUAGGACUCUAAUAACCUAUUAUGAUUCUAAUUCUAACUAUAUUAUAACUCAACUAGCUAAUCUUAAUUAGACUCCAACAAAUACCAAUCCCAAUUCAAUUCUAAUUAAUAUUAAUCCUACUUAAAGUUUACUUAGGUCUUCCAUUUCUUCCUUGAAUAAACUUUAAAAGGCUUUCCCCCAUCACCUAGACUUCUGUCUCCAAGAGAUUUCUUCCCUCAACACCCAAGUCUUAUACGACUCCCUAGCCUCCUUCCUAGCUUCACAAUCUUCCAGAUUUAAGCUGAAUAUUUCUCCAUUUCAUCCCAAUACUCCACCUAUUUGAGAGCUUCACCCUUUUUAGUAUCAAUGAGACCAAACACUUCUUUAUUCCAAGUCUUCAAAAUAUCUUUUAAGGCUCUCAAUUUUGCAUCCAAAACAAAGUUGUAGGUCCCGAUAAAAUUUAAACUCCCCCACCACUUCUUCAUCUGGUCUUUGAACCCCUUCUCCUCCAACCACAUGUUCUCAAAUCUAAAAGGGGAAGGACCCCUCUUCAUACCUCCACCUUCUAGGAGAAUGGGAAAGUGGUCAGAAACUGGUCUAGGAAGGAUCCCCUGCAUAACCCCAUUAAACAUGUUAUCCCAGUUAUCUGUCACUAAAAACCGGUCAAGUCUAGAGUGGGACUGGUUAUUCAACCCGCCUCUCCAGGUAAAAGGUCCCCCCUUAAAGGAAAGUCCCUUAGCUCCAAAUCCUCUACCACUUCUGAAAAUCUCCUCAUUGAAGCCGAAAGCCCACCACCCUUACUACGCUCCCCUGGAUAUAUAACCAUAUUGAAAUCCCCUCCCACACACCAAGGGUCAUUCCAUAACCCUUUUAUUGACCCAAGCUCCUCCCAGAAUUCCUCUUUAUCCCUAUUGCAUACCGGCCCAUACACACCAGUGAACACCCACAUCAACCCAUCCACACAAUUCUUAAACCGAUAAGAAAUUGAGAGCUCCCCCUCUUCCACAUCAACCAAUUCAACCAAUCUGUUAUCCCAAAACACCAGUAUACCUCCUGUUGCACCCCUAGAAUUGACUGCUCUUCGGUCUAGAUGUCUUCCCACCCCAAGACUACGGACAAGCCCCGUACUCGUUUCCUUAAUUUUAGUUUCCUGCAAACAAACCACAUCCGCUUUUUGGGAUUUUAUGACUGACUUAAUGACCCUUCUCUUAUUACUGUCAUUUACCCCUCUGACAUUCCAAGAUAGAGCAUCCUAGAAUACCAAGAAAUAAGGGAUAAUAAUACCAAGAAAUCUCCAACAAGAAGACUAUAGAGCCCUAAAGAAAGCAGGACAAAAAUGAAAAAUUGGUCAACCUAGGCAAUAUGAGCGUGUGUGUAUGCACACAAAAAUAGGGGAAAUUCUUUCAUGGAUCAAAAAAAUUAGCCACUUCCUAGGCUUCAUCACUACAAGAUUAACCUCAAAUUUUUAACAUAACAAAAUCCCUCUUCUAGGAUUUUAACAAGUGAAAUGCAGAUCAACAAUAUAUAUAAACAACAUGACCUUCCAGACCAUAAGUAGGUCAAGAGUGCUCAAACUAGGCUCUUCUGAGGAACACAGAUGCCACUACUAUUCUCUAAUUAAAAAAUAUUGUGCAAAAGAAGUGUUUGUGAGUCAAAAGGUGAAGUGGCGCCAGGCUUUAUGAAGCAUGCUAAGAGCCACAUAUAAUUUCUAUCAUGGUUUACAUUAAAGUGAUAAAAUGCAGAAUCUCAUGUAAAAAAAAUAUACACAUACAUACAUAUAUAUAUAUAUAUAUAUAUAUAUAUAUAUAUAUAUAUAUAUAUAUAUAUAUAUAUAUCACUGUUUAUCCAUGUAUCAACUGCAUGCAUCAAGGUGUUAAAGUUCUAUGAAAGAUUCACUAUUUUGCAAUCUCCCUCUGGUCUGGAGCCAUAUAAAGAUUAUAAUAUUGCUCUAGAAUUAGUAGACUGACAAAUUUUCUAAAUACUUGGUUAUUAUUCCUAUUCCAAUCCCAAUCAAGAUUGAAAGGGAACCCAGAAUAUAAAAAAAUUCUAAAACGUGGGAUCCAUCAGGCUUCAUUCACAGAAUCAGUGUUUCUACUAUUCUAGUGAAAUAAACUAGGCUUAUAUGGAAGUCUUCGUUGGCAUAUAGGAGGAAACUAUGAUAUACUACCUUUAAAAAGAGAAAAUCCAUAUAAACUGAAUUUCCUGCCAGAAGAGGGGUGUAUGUACCAACAUUUCUCUUGACAAAUUCUAUGACCUGUCAAAUUCAAACAUGAUUACAUUAAAAAGCUCAAUGAACAGAAAUGAACAACUAUUUAAACAUCAAGUAGAGAUCUUAGUUGAAACACAUGAAAAUAGAAAGUUGUAGAAAAUAAUGGAAAUUGUUAUGCAUCUAAAGAUAUAUAUGUGUGUACAUGUGGAAGGAUGUGAUUAUGGAUGUCAUUGUCCCAAACAUUAAAUUCUUUUUUCUUUCUGAUAAGCAAAUUUGAGAAUUGUAUGUCUGUAGUAUGAAUGUUGACAACUACAUACAUAUAUAUGUAACUAUGUAUGUAUGAGUAUAUAGGUGAACAUAUAAAUGCACAUGCAUAGUAAAAAACAAUAUUUAACACCUCAAUCCAAGUACAUAAGAAGUAUACAAAAGCACCAAAAGAACGGCAAAGAAAGUACCCCUACAUUUGACUAACUGCACCACACACGAAUUAUGAAAUCCAAAAAAAGAUAGGUUAGAAACUCCUAAAACUUCCUAGAGCACUCAAAUAGAGAUUUAAGAUAAGCCUUCCAAAACUUGAUCCAAACACUCAAAAUAUUCAAACAUUUAAAAGUUCUACUAUUGCCAAAAACAUCAAAAUAAGCCCUUAUCUACACCUUCCUUCAUACUCACAAAAUUCUCAUGCCAACCACAUAGAACCUUCUCUACUGAUUGAAGGAGCACCCAAGGGAUACCAAAAAGGGAGAACAAGGGUGCCAAUAGAUGCAGGCCUUUCUGCAAUGGAUUAGGAUGCAGUCUAUUAAAUCCUCAAUAAGCUUGCAUUGGCAACACCUGCCAAAGAACAACCUUCUUCAAAAGUUCGUUCUUGGUCAUCUUCCCUCAUAGUAACUCCUACACAGAAGGCCUGCCUUUGACGGAGCCCUUGAACCCACAUCUCCCUUGCAGGGAAGGAACCAAAAGCAACAAAGGCAAAGGAUAUAGAAGGAUUUAGAUGAACAAAAAUAAAUUUAACCUUUAUUUAUGUUGAUAUUCAUUUCAGGUAUCUUUUAAAAAAACCUUUCAUAAAUGAAUAUUGAGGGAAAAAAUGUCGUUUUUCCCCCAAAUAUUAGCUGGACCUAAAAGAAAACAUUGCUUAUAGAUCAACCCAAGCAUGCAAGGAUCAAUCUAGUCAUGCCCGUUAGAUCCUAAAAAAUAUUAAUUGAUCCAAUUAACCUAUAUUUUUUUUUCUUUUAGAAUAUUAUUCCAAUUAAGUCCACUGUUUUUCUGGUUUUUUAAAUCCACAUAUAUAUGAAUUUUUCUUCUCCAACCAUAGCUUCAAAUGCACUCUACUACAAAAUUUAGAGAGCAUUAUUUGUGUGUGUGUGUGUGUGUGUGUGUGUGUUUGUGUGUGUGUGUGUGAGAGAGAGAGAGAGAGAAUUGAAGAUAUUAUUCCUUCUUUUAUUCAAAAAUCUGGUUCCUUCAUGAAAAUUAUUUGAAAGAUUCUUUUUUUUUUUUUUUUUUUGAUAGGAAACAACAAAAUAACCUAGAAACUCAUCCAUCUUUUGUUUUGGGCGGUGCUCAUGUUAGAGUUUGAUCCCUUGAUGUUUUUGGGAUCAGGAAGGCACAGGAUUUGCAUUCCUAGAGACAAACAGGUGCAUAUACCAGGGUUUAAAGUAAUAAGUUCAUAUAUAAGGUUUUGGAUCUGCAUUGCGCAUUCCUUAUGGUAUUCAUCAUAUCCAAUUUCAACUAUAUAAGGUCCCAUAGUUUUUCUCUUUAAGGGCUUUGCAGGUUAAUAAAAAAUUUUCUUCAUCAUUUUAUAUUGUUAAUAUUUUCAAGCCAUAUUAUUGACUUAUUACAUAAGCAUAGGCAUUUUAUUUAAAAGAUGUAAUUCCAAAUAGUCAGGUUAAAUAAUAAGGGGGGAUGAUCACAAACUUUUAGAUUGGAAGCAUAAUAACUAUGGCAGGAGUUUACCCUUUUCUGUCAGUCUCGUUCCCUGUAGCUCCAUGAGCCGAUGGUUCAUUCAUAAGAAAAAAAAAAAGGUUAGUUUCAUAAGUUGUUCCCAUGGUUGGCAGGUGGAGAUGAAUCACGACAGCUUGGCACUCCACCAUUGCUAUGGACGGACUCUAAUGGUAAACUCAUACACCCGUGAUCAAGAGUCAAUGAAUAUAUUGGAUUCAUUAACAAUUCACAGCUGGGCCUUUGUCUCUAACUGAACUGUGGUGCCGUAGCUUCUUAUGCUGCAGCCCAUACCAUCCUAGCACUUCCCAUACUUUUUCUACCACUAAUAAGACUGGUGCCCGCACAGCCUAUGUCUUUGCUUCUUAUGCCUUUGUUGCCCUUAUCCCACCCGCAACUAGCUUAGAUUCUGCUGAUUCAGAUGCUGGUGGUCUAACUUGAAUGGAAUCUGAUCGAUCUUGAUAUGGAACAACUAGAAAGUUCAUGCAUAAACUCCUCUGCCUCUGCCAACCUUUUGCACACCUAUGCACCUACCCUGCAUGUUGUUUCAGGGUAGGUAUGAUUGUUUCAAAAUCAAAUAUUAAUGUUAGUUUGAAUUAUACUUACCUAAAUAUUUUGGAAUUUUAACUCCAUAUAUCUUCACUGUAAUGAUUCACUAUCAACUUUGUUGAUAUUGUCCGCUUUGAGACCAAAAGGCCCUCACAGCUUUACAACACGUCUACAUAGUUAAAACAAGUUCAUACAUAUAUAGCAUGAGGAACUUUUUCCCCUAUUUGAUGCGGUAUAUCACAAUCAUCCUUCCAUGCAAACACAAUAUCCUCAUUAUGUCCCAUGGGAUUAUGGGGUCAAAGCCGCCAAAUAGACAAAAAUCUCUUAAAGGGCCAAACACACUCCCAGAUUAAGGUUGGGGAUCGGCUCUAAUACCAUUUGUAAUGACUCGCUCUCAACCAUGUAGAUAUUGUCUACUUUAGACCCAAAGGGCCCUCAUGGCUUUAAAACGUUUUUAUAUUGUUAAGAGUAAUUUAUUCAUAUAUCAAGUCACAAACUUUUUCCCCUAUCCGAUGUGGGAUAUCAUAUUCAACUUCAAGAUUUUCAAGUCCAAUAAACGAGUCAAUUUGAAUUCCCUUAACCAGAUGCAACCAAAGUUGUUAUAGCGGCUCCAUAUGAAAAAACAAAUAUUUAAAUAAUCUAAAAGAAAGAAAGAAAGAAAGAAAGAAAGAAAAGCUAUGUAUCUAGGACAAAAAAAAAUUCCACCAUGGACCUGAUAACUAAAAUUUAUAGGCCGAUCAAGUUUAUCAACUAUAUGUGAAGUCCUUUCUUUUUCUAAACAAACAUGAAAUUGACUACUUUUAUGAAGACACAAUUACUUCAAAGUUAUUAGUGAAUUAGUUUCAUAUUUUGAAAGAACUAAUAAGGAUAUGACUUAACCAUCAUUAUGCUCUUUUGGGCAUAAAAAUCCACUCCCAUGAAAUCUAAUCCACAUAAAAUAUCAAAUGCUAUUCCAUUAGUUAGGUGAACCAAGAUGCUAGUAUUCCAUAGUUGUCUCAUGUCAACUAGAAAAGCUGCUUCUAUUGUCAAUGUCUUGAACAAGAUGCCAAAGAGAGUUAAUAAUCCUCAUGUUUCAUGUUCAAAAAAAUUCUCUUACCACUCUUAGAUUUUUGUAACACAACCUUAAAUGAUGGAAUGAGGCUGUUAUCCCCAUGAACAUACUUUGCAUAUCAAAUUUACAAGUUCAUACAAUUUUAUAUAAUAAAGAUCUAAGAACAUAUGGCAAAGUAUGGUAAUGCUCUUACAUACCUGCUUUUCAGCUUCUUGUUCACUGAUGGUACUUCGAAGCACUUUUUUUGUCAGCCCUAAAUUAUUAUUGACAUGUCCGUUAAGGUCCCAUGAAGGGCAUAAUAAACAAGAAUAAACACCUCCAAUAGGACUUUCCAUGAAACUUAUAUAAGAUACCAUGCCAAACCUAACUUUGACAUAAACCACAAAAAUAAGUAAAUUUAUGAAGAUGCGUACCACUAGCUGAGUGAUGACUUUGACACCAUUCUCCCAUGUUGUCUAAACACUCUUUAGUUUGAUGGAUAACCAAAUCAGGACCCUAAGUACAGAAGAAAUGGCUUCAAUUACAGAAAGAUAAGAGGAUCACAUAUACCAUCAAGCUUCUUAGUAAACAGCAUGCCCAUGCACAACCAAGGAUAAACAACACAAUAAAAUUAAGAAUUUCUAAUAAACUUAUUUUAAUAUAUUCUCCAUGAAACUUAGGCUUCUUUAAGAAAGCGAUCCUUGCCAACAAAACCUUCAAUGAAGAAGACAAAUAGUUAAAGUCAUCUUUUUGUCUGGUUCCCCAUCAAUCAUUGUCACCUCAAUUUCUUUAAUCAGUGGAUAAAUAUAGGAGUCUCCCUGUCCUGUUCAACUCCUCAAUGGAGACAAACUAUCUCGAGAAAUCACGGGAUUUAUAAAUCUAGAUCAAAAUUUCAUGUUUCAUAGAUAUCAUAGAAACAAAAUUCAUCAAGUGCAUCAUCCUUAAUCAUGUACAUGUGUUCAAUAUGCUGUAGCAAAGUUCUUCUACUUAACAAAAGCAUGGUCAAGUUUUCUGCAUUUGAAUCAUGUACAUGUGCAAAGGAAGACCCACUCCUUUUGAGCAAAAACACCAUCUCCAAUACACCCAACUUCAGAAUUCCACCAUUCAAGAUUCAAACAUUUACCAUUAAACAAAUUCAAUCUGCACCCUUCUAAACCCUUCAGCAACUUCAAACUUGAAAGAAUGAGGGAAUCCACCAAAAGCGCUAAUUGGAGGUUCUCUUUCAAACACUUGUUAUAGACAGCCCAAGACCUCAAGGAAAUGAGGUCCAGAACUGGAUCUGAAGAACCACCCCAUCUAUACACAAGGCAACACCAAAGGCUCUCAUAUUUGUGUCAAUCUCCUCCUUACCAAUUUGAAGCCUAACAGCCUCACCUAGAUCAACUUCACCUUUGGACACCAACUCUGCAUAGGAAAUGGCCUUCUCUGAUGCUCACCCUCUGCUUACCUUCGUUUGAGAUAUGGUUGCUAUAAAGAUUUGACAAAGCACCUAAACUCCUUAGCUUACUAGCCAACACUUGCCAGCCCCUUAAUCCGCUACCUUCCAGGAGCAGCAAUGAAAAUCUAUUCCCCACCAUUGAAAUGGCAAAGUAGAGCAAGAAUCUCCCCACUCUAUUAUAGUGAAGCUCCAACUUGUAACACCCGCCUCCCUCCACCCAAUCCUUUUGAAAGGGUUUCCAAUCCUUCUCUACAAUACACACCUCCACCUCUUCCGUUGGAAGGGCGAAGCACUUCUCCCUGAACUUUAUCCAUGAAGAGGAGCCACAACCCCUCUCAACAAUCUUACGAAGCACACAGCCUUUGACCUACUCUAACAAAAUCUCAAAGGAUUUCGAUUCUACUCCGAACCAACAUCAUCCACCCAUAAACACCCAAACAAUUCCCAAAUAACAGCAAAGUUGUCCUUCUUCUGCCACAUAUACUUUUAUCCAUCCAACUUCAUUCAUGAUUUCAUUCUUACAUGAUUCCCAAGUUUGUACCAAAUUUCAUUGCUGACUUAGUUUCUAUGAGUUUGUCUUUUCCAACUAAUUCCCGAAUUCUAAACCACUUCUGGAGAAAGUUUGAUCUAGUUUUCCAAUUCAUCACUACAAAUUGCGCAGCAUAUACUGAUAUCGCAAGGACCAUAAAACCUCUACUCCCCCACCUAUGUCUACAUAGAGAAAUGCUGAAGUUUGAUGAAAAAGGCAGAAUAAUCAGAUUCUAUAUAUCAAAAGUUCUAUCAAAAACGAAUGAAGUGUCGGAUAUCCUUUUUCCUAUGAAUUACACACCAACAAUCCCAAACCUCUCCCAAGGGAUGCACAAUCUCCCAGAACCCCAAACCCCCUACCACUGCACCAUCCAUGCUAUCUAUAUGGAAAUGCUUAAGGGAAAUAGCAAAAUACUUGGGACUCCUUUUUGCCAACAGUCCCACUGAAAACAAAGUAGAACCCCUCUGUUUCCUAACUAAGUGGCAAGCAAAUAUUGAAGAUGUAAAAACAACGAAUGCACAAAUAGCAUCAUUACUAACAACUGAUAACUAAAAGUUAUAGAAACAAUAAUAAAAUCUGAAGACAAGGAUGCAGGAAGAGGGAGGGGGGAAGAAUGCAUAGCAAAGCUGUGAUGUAUGCAUGAAAAUGCGAUGUAAAUAAACUAUUACCUCAACUGAUUUGAUCAAAUUGCCAUCUGUAAUUAUACAAGCAAUCUCCAGUAUUCGAUCAACUUCAACAUUUAGACCUGCACAGCAGCAGAAGUGCAAAUAUGAGAAGAGAUAAGAAGAUUUACCACAUAAUACUCCAUUAUAUCACAGCCAUUCCACAUUUUAAAUUAUGUAAGAACAGUUUGUGCUCUACUAUAUCACAGCCAUUCCACCAUUUAAAUUAUGCAGUAACAGUUUCUGUAAAGUCCAGACAAGAGCACCUCUAAAGAAUACUUUAGACCGUAAUGAUGCAGUUGAAUAUGUUCGCAAGCGUAUGAGAACUUGGGAUGAAGCACAGUUACAAACAACCAUUUCAUUACAUUGAAAAUAGUAAAUACAAAGAAGGACGAGAAAUCCUUUGGAUAAUUACAAACACCUCUGUGCAAAGUCCGACAAGAAUGCACAUGUGUAUAUACUACUCCAAAAAGGCAAAUCUAUCUAACCUCUGGAUAAUUACAAACACCUCUGUACAAAGUCUGAUAACAUGCACAUGUGUAAAUACUUGUCCAAAAAGGCAAAUCUAUCUAACAGGUCACUAAUUAUUAGGAUUCCAACAUUAGAAACCAAAUUUCUUGCUCCACACUUUGCUAAUAUAUCUGCCACAUGAUAGCCUAAUUAAAAAAUCCAACAAAAGGAACAUCUCAACUCAGAACAAAUAUCAAUAAUUUUUCAUAUCCAUCCAUGAGACUUCCACAAUCCUCAUUUUUUGUUGGUGGCCCUUGAUACUACAAUAGCAUAAUCACCUACUAGGACAUUGGAGACGCUUAAGGCUUUUGCAUAAAACAAAGCACUCUAAAAAGCGCUAGAAUCUGUGUCUCAAUGGUUAAAGCAACCUGCAUAUUUAGAGAAUGCUUUAACCAUUGCACCAAGGCCGGUCCCUCUAUAACCCUUCAAUCCAUAACCACCUUAGGUUACCCAAAGAACCCAUCAAAAUUUAGCUUAAAAACCAUGGUUAGGGAUAAUCAUUCAGGCAGUGUCUCCUUAAUCAAUCUUGUGGUCCUAUACACUAGCAAAAUGAGACUCAAAGGGUGCUACAAAACCUUCACUAGCAAAAGCCCAAAGGGAAGAAGAGAAGUAAAAUAAGUCCAAAACUACUUCCACAAACCCCCCGUUUAUCCUUAAGAUCCUUGCAUUCCUUUUCUGCCAAAUUUGUCCAAAUCAGAGUAAGGCUAGUAACACGCCAAAGAGUCCUAUCUUGACAAAGUCUCUCAAAACCCUUAAAAGGAUAUCCAUAAUAUCUCCUCUGAUGGGAUUCAGUCAAUCCCAAAAAGUUUAAAUAACCUAUACACAAGGCUAAGGCCAUGGGCCAAUGUAAAAAUACACGAUACACCACUUUGAACUAGGAGCUUUCUAAGGCCUUCUUGCUUGGGACAAAUCAUUGGUAUUGAAAUUCUUAUUUGCCACAAGUCAUCCAAAUGAAAUUUGAAUAAAUAGAAGGAACCCAAUUGGUAGGAGAAGAUAUAGUAUUAAAGAGGGAAUUAACUGAGAACAACUCUAAGAAUAUCAAAGUUCAACUCUCACAUCAAAGAAAUGUGAGCAACAGAUACAUGAGGACUAAAACAUGGAUGAGAAGGAUCAAUUCCUCAAUUUCAUGCUCUAAGAGGUUGCAAACCCAAAUGAAAGACAGAGGGGGAAACUAGCACAGAAGAAAUCACGAAGUCUCUCAGCCUACCUACUCUGUAGAGAUUUGGGAAUUGAUCACUUAGAGCUUUCUCACCCCACCAAAGCUAUAUUCCCAAAAGCAAAGUUUAUAUCAUCACUCAUAGAAUAAUAAGUAAAUCAAGAAAACUUAGAGGAAGUCUAUGCAAUAGCCUUCUAGUGUCAUCUAUAUAACCAUCUAAUAACAAAGUUGGCAUCCCAUCCAUUCAAGUGUGAACCAUAGAUCCUCUACAUGAUCCUGUCCCAUAAAGCAUUGUUCUCCCUAGGCAACCUUCCUUGAAAAGGCUUUAUUCUUUAAAAGGUUGUGCUUACACAGUUGAAAAUAUAGAAAAAACCAUAGAAAUUAAUUAAUGACGUACUCUUAUCAACGCAGGGCACAUUUAGAACCAGUAGCAUAUAUAAAAGGUUACAAAAGAUAAGAGAAUAAUAUUAUUAUAAUACGCCUCUAAAUUGGGAAAACAAUAAUAGAAUAUAUAUAUAUAUAUAUAUAUAUAUAUAUAUAAAUAGAUAGAUAGAUAGAUAGGUCAUAUUUGUGUGUGUAGAAUGUAUUAAAAUUUCACAGCACAACCUUAAUGAACACUUUCCAUAAAUAAAUAAAUAGCAUAGAUGCUAUCUUUACAUUGAAGCCAAGCUCAAGUGGUAAGGGAUUGGGGCAGGGAAAUUCCAAGUUUGAGCCACAGUAGGAACCUAUACAUAUAUAUCUAUAUAUAUACAUUCAUACAUACAUAUAUAUAUACAUAGAGACAGACAGACAGACAGACAGAGAGACAGAUAUUGCCCAUCAAAAAAGGAAAUUAUUAGUCUAAUUUCAUAGAAUUUCUUUAUGCUAGAUUCCACUAUUUAGAACUCCACUUUAAUCUUAUCCAAGUGGCUAUGGUAUAAACUAUUCCAACAAAGAAUUAUUUUAUCCUAAUGAUAAAUUGAACUUCUCUCAAGCAAGUUCAAACUUCUAUCACAACAGAAUCACAGUUCUGCCUUAAAAGAAUUACAAAUUUCAUAACCCUCUAUGUAUAAGGCAAGGAAUCACAAGCAAACUACAGCUACAUCAAAAAAAAUCCAGUAAGCACAGAAAAGCAAACAAAACUUGAGAAGAAAAUUGGAAACUCAAAUCAAGUGGAUGCUUUUUUACAUUAGGAAAUUUGAUACCUUCAUAGGAAAGCACAACAACCAAGAUUGCAAACUUAUUUUCAAGGAUGCUGUGAUGAUAAAGAAGAGAAUCUUACUAAAAUCUACUGAUUAAGAGUUAAUGAAUCAAGACUAGAAAUAUUCUUAAAUAUGGAGAGAAAAAGGAGUGUCAACAUUAUGUUCUGGUUUUAUACACAGAUUUGUGAAGUGUCAAAAAUCUAGUAGAUUUAGUUUAAAUUAAUCAUUUUAUUCUCUGAAGAUUUUUGUAUGACCUAUAUGACUCCUAACUAGUAGAAAAUUCAUAAUUCCAAGGGAUAAAGAGAGAGAAGUCAAACUUUCUUAUUUAGGUGUUUUCCUCUAGAAUAAAUUGAUCGUAUACAGUUUUUUUAUUAUCAAGAGAAAAUUAUUUUUUUCUCCACAUGGUGUCAGAGUGCACACUCUCUGGGAAAUUUUCUAAUCAGCUUUUUUUCGGCCUUCAUUGCAAAAAAUCUUCUUAGCCAUCAUUGUGGUUUACUCCUUUUUAACUCCAUAGCCAAAUCUUGUUCUAAAUUAUUUCUAGCAUUUUUUUUUUCUCUUGAAUAAUGUAUGAUAUCUCUGAAAAUACAUCCAAUCCCACUGAAAUUAUUACUGAGUCACCACUGAAUCAAUCAACUGGAGAACUCCAAAAUAUUAAUCCCUCCUACCAAUUGAUGGAAGGAAUUACCUACAGUUGCAGAUUGUGAGAUCAUUUCUGAAAGUACAAGGAAAGCUGAGUCAUUUGAUUGGGAACUACAAGAGAAACCUUCAUCUCCAG
rnacentral:lncRNA from 1 species